rnacentral:lncRNA from 1 species
UUUGUUUUUGUAAAUAUGAUUAGUUCAUCGUUCCUGAUUCAGCCUAUUAUGAAUAAACAUGUUUGCAAUGACAACUAGAGAUCAUAGUUUCUUGUGACAUGCUUGAUUAGCUAUGAGUUAUAAUGGUUUACCUUGCAUGCCAACAUGCUAUUGAGAUGGUUAUGAUGUGGUAUGAUAGGGUGGUAUCCUCCUCUGAAUGAUUUAAGUGACUUGACUUGGCACAUGUUCAUGCAUGUAGUGGAAACAAAAUCAACAUAGCCUUCACGAUAUUUAUGUUCAUGGUGGAUUAUAUCCUACUCAUGCUUGCAUUCGAUGUUGAUCAAUUUUAAUGCAUGUUCAUGACUGUUGUCGCUCUCUAGCUGGUCGCUUCCCAGUCUUUUGCUAGCCUUCACCUGUACUAAGCGGGAAUACUGUUUGUGCAUCCAAACUCUUUAAACCCCAAAGUUAUUCCACAUGAGUCCACUAUACCUACCUAUAUACGGUAUCUACCUGCCGUUCCAAGUAAAUUUGUAUGUGCCAAACUUUAAACCUUCAAAUAAAUAUCAUGUUUUGUAUGCUCAAAUAGCUCAUGUAUCAACUAGGGUUGUCUAUAUCUUCCAUAUUAGGCGGGUUAUUCUCAAGAGGAGUGGACUCUGCUCCUCACUCACGAGAUAAAUGGCUCGUCACCGGGAUGCCCAGUCCCAUGCUUUAUGCAAACUAAAUCAAAAUAAUUGCAAACAAAACUCCCCCUGGGACUCUUGUUAGUUGGAGGCACUCAUUGUUUCGAGCAAGCCAUGGAUUGAUGCUUGUUGGUGGAGGGGGGAGUAUAAACUUUACCAUUCUGUUUGGGAACUGCCUAUAAUGUGUGUAGGAUGGAAUAUAUCGCCAUCUCUUGGUUGUUAUGUUGACAAUGAAAGUAUACCGCUCAAAAUAUUAUUCACCUAUGUUUCAAAAUCGAGCCUUGGCACCUCUACAAAUCCAUGCUUCCCUCUGUGAAGGGCCUAUCUAUUUACUUUUAUGCUGAGUCAUCAUCCUCUUAUUAAAAAGCACCAGUUGGAGAGCACCGCUGUCAUUUACAUUCAUUAUUAUUAGUUUACAUUGAGUAUGACUUGAGUGGAUCUCUUUUACCAUGAAUUACAAUGUCUAGUCAGUCCUUGGUCUUUAAAGGUUCUCUGCAUUUAUGUUUUGCGGUCUCAGAAAGGGCUAGCGAGAUACCACCUUGUUAUAUCAUAUUAUGAUUGUUUUGAGAAAGUGUUGUCAUCUGAGUUUUAUUAUUAUGGCUCGCUAGUUGAUUAUGCUAUUGAUAUGAGUAAACUUGAGACCUAUGCGUUAUUAUGAAUGUGGUUAGUUAUAAUCUUUGCUGAAAACUUGAAUGCUGGCUUUACAUAUUUACAACAACAAGAGCAAGCAGAGUUUGUAAAAGUUUUUCUUUAUCACUUUCAGUUUGUCAACUGAAUUGCUUGAGGACAAGCAAAGGUUUAAGCAUGGGGGAGUUCAUACGUCUCCAACGUAUCUACUUUUCCAAACACUUUUGCCCUUGUUUUGGACUCUAACUUGCAUGAUCUGAAUGGAACUAACCCGGACUGACGCUGUUUUCAGCAGAAUUACCAUGGUGUUAUUUAUGUGCAGGAGCAAACGUUCUCGGAAUGACCUGAAACUUCAUGGAGACACUUUUCAUAAAAUAAGAAAAACACAUGCCAAAGAUGAAGGCCAGGGGGCCCACCAUCUUGCCACGAGGGUGGGGGGCGCGCCUGCCCCCCUAGGGCGCACCCCCUACCUUGUGGGCCCCCUGUUGUAUCUCCGACUCCAACUCCACCUCCAUAUAUUGAGUUUCAAUGAGAAAAAAAUCAGAGAGAAGAAAUCAUCGCGUUUUACGAUACGGAGCCACCGCCAAGCCCUAAAACCUCUCGGGAGGGCUGGUCCGGAGUCCGUUUGGGGCUCCAGAGAGGGGAAUACGUCGCCAUCGUCAUCAUCAACCAUCCUCCAUCAGCAAUUUCAUGAUGCUCACCAUUGUGCGUGAGUAAUUCCAUUGUAGGCUUGCUGGACGGUGAUGGGUUGGAUGGGAUCUAUCAUGUAAUCAAGUUAGUUUUGUUAGGGUUUGAUCCCUAGUGUCCACUAUGUUCUGAGAUUGAUGUUGCUAUGACUUUGCUAUACUUAAUGCUUGUCACUAGGGCCCGAGUGCCAUGAUUUCAGAUCUGAACCUAUUAUUUUUUCAUCAAUAUAUGAGUGGUCUUGAUCCUAUCUUGCAAGUCUAUAGUCACCUAUUAUGUGUUAUGAUCCGUUAACCCCGAAGUGACAAUAAUCGGGAUACUUACCGGUGAUGACCGUAGUUUGAGGAGUUCAUGUAUUCACUAUAUGUUAAUGCUUUGUUCCGGUUCUCUAUUAAAAGGAAACCUUAAUAUCCCUUAGUUUCCGUAAGGACCCCGCUGCAAUGGGAGGGUAGGACAAAAGAUGUCAUGCAAGUUCUUUUCCAUAAGCACGUAUGACUAUAUUCGGAAUACAUGCCUACAUUACAUCGAUGAAUUGGAGCUAGUUCUGUGUCACCCUAGGUUAUGACUGUUACAUGAUGAACCGCAUCUGGCAUAAUUCUGCAUCACUGAUCCAUUGCCUACGAGCUUUCCAUAUAUUGUUCUUCGCUUAUUUACUUUUCCGUUGCUAUUGCUAUCAUCACUAAAAAAUACCAAAAACAUUACUUUUACUAUCAUUACCUUUUGCUACCGUUACCACUACAAUCAUGUUACUUUGCUACUAAAUACUUUGCUGCAGAUAUUAAGUUUCCAGGUGUGGUUGAAUUGACAACUCAGCUGCUAAUACUUGAGAAUAUUCUUUGGCUCCCCUUGUGUCGAAUCAAUAAAUUUGGGUUGAAUACUCUACCCUCGAAAACUGUUGCGAUCCCCUAUACUUGUGGGUUAUCAAUGGCCAUCGUCGCGUGUCGGGGCACGCCUCCGCGAUCCGUAGAUCGAUCUGGUAUGUCCUGCUCUACUGUCCAGGUCCUGCCGACGGUCAUAUGUAUAUGCUCGAGCUGUUUUAACCCUGCCUUUACAGCAAGGUAGUAUGGGCUGGUGUUCGGCUUGGGUUGCCGCUUUGUCCCGACCACGUGGUGGUCGGUUAGCCGCCUUGUGCACUGAUGGCACGGGCUCCAAUGCCUUGUCAUCGAAUUGAGGUAGUAAUUUGCGCUUCGGGUGACUUUUGGGUGGUCGCUCGAGGCCGUAUUCCUCGGCUGCCAGGACGUUAGUCCAUCUAUCGUUGAGAAGAUCUUGAUCAGCUUGAAGCUGUUGCUGCUUCUUUUUUAGGCUCCUUGUAGUGGCUAUUAGCCGGCGCUUAAAGUGCUCCUGCUCGAGAGGUUCCUCAGGCAUGAUAAAAUCUCAUCGUCGAGGCUCACCUCAUCCUUGGAGAGUGGAAGAUAGUUACUGUCCUCCGAGUCUUCGUGUUCGGCCUGUUCAUCAGGGCUAACUCGCCCAUAUUCCCGUUCGCCCUGUUCGGAAGUUGGCUCAACAGGGUCUUCAUUGUCAUCAGCAUCUUCUAGAGUAUUGUUUUCUCCUGUGCCGGUAUUGCUAUCUUUUUCACGGCGUGACUUAGAGGGGCGCCACUGUCGUCGGUGCUUUGGCUGUAUCUCAGGAGGUUUAUCUUCCACUGGGUCUUCUUUGUCAUCAUUGUUAACAUCUUUGGGUGUGUCCACCAUGUAUACGUCGUAGGAGGAGGUGGCCGUCCAGCGCCCGGUAAAUGGCGGGUUUUGGGCCUGCUCCUCUUCGGCAUCAUCAUCCAUACCGUCAAUGUCUUCGGAGUCGUAGUUGAGCAUGUCAGUUAGAUCUUUGACAGUGGCUAUUAAGUGGGAGGUGGGUGGGAAACGAAAUUCCCCGUCAUCAGCCCCCCAGUUCAAACCGGAUAUAAUUCGGUUGUGAGUCCCCUGCUAAAGAGAGAGUUUUUAAUGAGUUUAGCACAUCGCCUAAAGGUGAGUGCCGAAAGAUGUCAGCGGAACAGAAUUCAACGAUCGGUGCCUGGUAAGGCUCGGCGGACGUAGAUGCAUGUAGUUUGGAACCAGUGACCGGAGAUGAAUCCGGGGGUCCGGUGACGCAGACCCCGCUCAAAGCUGCGUCUGUGUGCGGCUCCAACGCCGAUGAGUCUGCGGCUUCCGUGGCGGGGUUAAGCUUCCCUUCUUCGGAUGGCACAGGCUGCUCCGGAUCUAGGGCCAGAGCGCUUACACAGGCAAUCUCCUGGGUAUGGUCCGAUGACAGAUUUAGGUCAUGUUCAUCGCGGUGGCAGGGAGCGGCUGCCAUGGGCUCAAAUCCUUCGAAGAUCAAGUCUCCGCGGAUAUCAGCUACGUAGUUCAAGCUUCCAAACCUGACCUCACAGCCAGGAGCGUAGCUGUCGAUUUGCUCUAGAUGGCCAAGCGAGUUGGCCCGCAGUGCGGAGCCGCCGAAUACGAAGAUCUGGCCAGGGAGAAAGACAUCCCCGGGCAGCGUUGUUGUAGAUGAUGGAUGGAGCCAUCGAACCUUCUGAUGACGACACAGUGGAACUCUCAAUGAAAGCACCAAUGUUAGUGUCAAAACCAGGGGAUCUUGGGUAGGGGGUCCCGAACUAUCCGUCUAGGGUCGAUGGUAACAAGACACAGGGACACGAUGUUUACCCAGGUUCGGGCCCUCUCUAUGGAGGUAAUACCCUACUUCCUGCUUGAUUGAUCUUGAUGAAUAUGAGUAUUACAAGAGUUGAUUUACCACGAGAUCGUAAUGGCUAAAAGGCUAGAAGUCUAGCCUAUAUGAUUAUGAUAAUCUCUAUGGACUAAACCCUCAGGUUUAUAUAGACACCGGAGGGGACUAGGGCUAUACGAAGUCGGUUACAGAGAAAGGAAUCUUCAUAUCCGAAGGCUAAGCUUGCCAUCCACGCCAAGGAGAGUCCCAUCCGGACACGAGUGAGAGUCUUCGGUCUUGUAUCUUCAUAGCCCAUCAGUCCGGCCCACGUCCAGCAGGCCGGACGCCCGAGGACCCCUUAGUCCAGGACUCCCUCAGGGGCCACCCCCCUUUCCUUCCUUCUCUCCUCCCCUUCCUUCUCUCCUACUCCUACUACUUGGAAGGGGGGAAUCCUACUCCCGGUGGGAGUAGGACUCCCCUAGGGCGCGCCAUAGAGGGCCGGCCCUCCCCCUCCUCCACUUCUUUAUAUACGGGAGAGGGGGGUACCCCAUAGACACACAAGUUGAUCAUUGUCUUAACCGUAUGCGGUGCCCCCUCCACCAUAAUCCACCUCGUUCAUAUCGUAGUGGUGCUUAGGCGAAUCCCUGCUCCGGUAGCAUCAUCAUCACCGUCAUCACGCCGUCGUGCUGACAAAACUCUCCCUCGACAGUCAGCUGGAUCUAGAGUUCGUGGGACGUUGUAGGAUCGAAAGUAUGUCUAGAGGGGGGUGAUUAGACUACUCGACCAAAUAAAAAUCUAGCUUUUUCCCAAUUUUAGUUCUUGGCAGAUUUUAGCUAUCUUAGCACAAGUCAAGCAAUCUCCACACAAUUCAAGCAAGCAUGCAAAAGAGUAUAUGAGCAGCGGAAAGUAAAGCAUGCAACUUGCAAGAAUGUAAAGGGAAGGGUUUGGAGGAUUCAAACGCAAUUGGAGACACAGAUGUUUUUGUCGUGGUUCCGAUAGGUGGUGCUAUCGUACAUCCACGUUGAUGGAGACUUCAACCCACGGAGGGUAACGGUUGCGCGAGUCCAUGGAGGGCUCGACCCACGAAGGGUCCACGAAGAAGCAACCUUGUCUAUUCCAUCACGGCCGUCGCCCACGAAGGACUUGCCUCAAUAGCGGUAGAUCUUCACGAAGUAGGCGAUCUCCUUGCCCUUACAAACUCCUUUGUUCAACUCCACAAUCUUGUCGGAGACUCCCAAGUGACACCUAGACAAUCUAGGAGACACCACUCUCCAAGAAGUAACAAAUGGUGUGUUGAUGAUGAACUCCUUGCUCCUGUGCUUCAAAUGAUAGUCUCCCCAACACUCAACUCUCUCUCACAGGAUUUGGAUUUGGUGGAAAGAAGAUUUGGGUGGAAAGCAACUUGGGGAAGGCUAGAGAUCAAGAUUCAUAUGGUUGGAAUGGAAUAUCUUGACCUCAACACAAGUGUAGGUGGUUCUCUCUCAGAAAAUGUGUAUUGGAAGUGUAGGUAUGUUCUGAUGGUUCUCUCCACGAAUGAAGAGUGGGUGGAGGGGUAUAUAUAGCCUCCACACAAAAUCUAACCAUUACACACAAUUUGCCAAACUCGGUGGGACCGAAUUGUUAAACUCGGUCGAACCGAUUCAGCAAACCUAGUGACCGUUAGGAUUUUCAGUGGGACUGAGAUGCAACUCGGUAGGACCGAUAUGGUUAGGGUGAGGGCAUAACGUAAUCUCGAUGUGACCGAUUACACAAACUCGGUGGGACCGAUUUUGCUAAUAAGCUAACCAGAGAGUUGGUUAGGUAAACUCGGUGGGACCGAUUCGCUCAUCUCGGUUAGACCGAAGUGUUACAAAAGGGAAACAGAGAGUUUACAUUGCAAUCUCGGUGGGACCGAUCGCUCAUCUCGGUAAGACCGAAACGUUAUGAAGGGAAACAGAGAUAUUACAAUCCCAUCUCGGUGAGACCGAGAUCCCUAUCGGUGAGACCGAUUUUCCUAGGGUUUGUGGCAGUGGCUAUGACAUUUGAAACUCGGUGGCGCCGGAUAGAAAGAAUCGGUGGGGCCGAGUUUGACUUUUGGUUUAGGUCAUAUGUGGAUGUGGGAAGGUAGUUGAGGAUUUUGGAGCAUAUCACUAAGCAUUUUGAGCAAGCAAGCCAUUAAGCAACACCUCAUCCCUCCUUGAUAGUAUUGGCUUUUCCUAUAGACUCAAUGUGAUCUUGGAUCACUAAAAUAUAAAAUGUAGAGUCUUGAGCUUCAAGCUUGAGCCAAACUUUUUGUCCUUAGAAUUUUGAGGGAUCCACUUUCCUCAUCCAUGUCAUGCCAUUCAUUGAGCUUUUCCUAAAAUAUUAAUCUUGGAAUAAUGUUAGCUCAAUGAGCUAUAUGUUGUUAGGAAUUACCAAAACCACCCAGGGAUAGGUGCACUUUCAAUCUCCCCCUUUUUGGUAAUUGAUGACAACAUAUAGAUCAAAGCUUCGACAAAUGAUAAUAAGAGUGAAAGAUAUUGUCGCUUUGAGAAGUAUGUGAAAAGCAAGAGCUCCCCCUAAAUUUGUGCAUAUCUUAAGAUUUGCUUUGGACUGCAAAUGCACAAUGAGUUAGGAUCAUGGGUCACUCUUCCAUGUCACAUACAUCUUGGUGGAGCGCUCAAAAUAAUAAAGAUUGAAUACAUGCACUCAUCACCAAGUAAAGUGAAUGAUCAUAUAAGGAUAAGUAAGAUAAUAUCAUCUAACAAGCAUAAGUGUAGCUUAUGAUCAACCACAUGAUCAUCAAUGUCUCACAGAUAAUAGCAUAGUAUCUCAAGCAAUCAAAAGACAAACAAAGUUCAACCACCAAAGCAAGAGAGAAUAAAAAGCAACACUCUCUCUCGAAGCAUAUGAUCUAUACAUGUUUCUCCCCCUUUGGCAACAAGUUACCAAAAAGUUCAUAGAAAAUGCAUAGCACUAAAACAUCUCUCAAGCUUGGUCUUCAGGUGGUGGCGUAGAGAUGGCUCCUUGGAUGAAGACUUCAGUUGAUGUGGAUGGAGCUGAAGGAGUUGGUGCUGGAGCUGGUUGCACUGAAGUUGUAGCUGGUGCAAAUGAAGUGGCUCUAGUGUCUGGAACAGGAACUGCAGCAGACCUCUGAGCUCUAGGCACUCUGGCAAAUGCAUCAGUGAUUGUCUUGCCCUUCCUCUCCUGCAUAUCAUCUUGAAGUUGCUCCACAACAGACUGGAUCUCAGAUAGCUUCACAUCCAAGUCAUAGAAUUUUUGCUCCACGAUUCUUUCCAAGCUCUCCUGGUUUUGAGUCAGGGUGGCCAGUCCCUUCUCAAUCCUCAGAGUGGAUGCAAUCAGGUAGCCAAGCUGAUCUUGCUUCCUCUUCAGGAGAUACUGAGAUGCUUCUUUAGUAGUUGGCAUCCUAGUAGCCUUUUCAGCUUUUGCCUUCUCCUUCUUGGCUUGUGCGUGCACAGAAGAUGGUUCAUCCUCAUUCAUAACCACGGUGUUGUCCUCGAAGUCUAGAUGGAUAGGCAUGUGCUCCUUGUCUAGCAGAUAUGUACUAGUGCCCAUCUUGGAGUUGAUUAGCUCCUGGAUCUGUGGGGCAUACCCACAACUCCUAUUCUGAUCUGCAGUUGUCCUCUUGAUAGUUUCAACUAUUAGGCUCAUGACUUUGAACUUCUGUGGGACAUCAAAGAUGUGAAGCAAGUUAAUUGCAUGGCCUCUGAUCAUCUUGUGAUCACCUGACUUUGGCAAGAGAGUGUGCCUCAGGAUCUAGUUGAUGGUUGGCAAGCCUGACAGAAGGUAAUGUACAGAUCCAAACUUAUGGGUCUCAAGAGCAGCAUCUGGGAUCUCCUUGUACAUGUGUGCCAUUGUGUUGUGAUCCUUCUUCCUGUUGGCAUAGACAUCCAAGUCAUCUUCACUCUCUUUUGGGGCAUUGAUCAACUUCGCCCAUUCAGCAACUAUGGACUGGUACCUCGUACCUUCAAACAUCCAGACAAUCCUUCCAUCUGGGUAGAAAUGAGCUAUGGAGUAGAACUGCAUGAUGAGCUCAUCAUUCCAUUUUGUGAGCUUCUGAGCCACAAACUCAUCGACUCCACAAGCCUUGAAACUAUCAUGUACACCUGGAUAGUGAUCCUCAUUCUCCUUGAUGUAGUCCCAGUCGACCCAUCUCAUGUCACACACUAUGGGCUUCUUGUCAAGCAACACUGUCUCAUAGAAGUCCUGCUGUUCCUUUGUGUGGAACCUGUAAUCAACAGCAGUCCUUCUCCUGGUGGCAUAUGGAUCUGACUCUCUCCACCUCAGACCUGAGUCCUUCCUUAUCUUCAUGUUCUCAGCUACUGGAUGAGCAUCAUUGUGAUCUGGGAUUUCUGGCUUCAGCUUCCUCAAUACAUGUGACUCAUCAUCUUCUUCUUCCAUUUCAGCUUCAGGCACUGGGGCCUUGUUCUUUUCAGCAGCUGGUAUACUCCUGGUAUUCCUCUUAGGUGCACUCUUGGGCUUGGAGGCUGCUUUGGGUGCUUCUUUGGCCUUUGAUGUUGCAGCCGCUGACUUUAUAGCAUCACCCAUCAGCUUUUGUGCCUUGGGUGCUGGUGCAGCAACCUCUUCUUCCUCUUCCUCUUCAGAAUCUCUCAUGAUUGAGGAUCUCCCAAGCACUCUAGCAGUGGUCUUUUUGAUCCUCUCCUUCCUCUCCUUCCCUUCUGCAGCAACCUCUUUGGGUUCAGAUCCCAAAGGGCCUUGAGUAGAUGCUCUGGCCUUAGACAUUGGAAUUCUCUUUGCAGGAACCUUUUGCUUCAUGCCUAGCUUGGUGGCAGCAACAGCGCUAUAUUCCUUCUUAACCACUUUCUUCUUGGAAGUGGCCUCAUCCUCAACUGCCACAUAGUCUUCAUCCUCAGAUUCAGAGGUCUUCUACUUUCUGGCCCUGGUGGCAGCUUUGGGUAAGUUGCUUGGGGUGCUCCGGCUACCAUCAUCUGAACUGCUAGAGGGACUAGUGCCCUCACUCAGGUGAACCUGCUCCUCUGACCUGUUCUGGCUAUCACUCUGAUCAGACAUAUUGCAAGCACUGACAGCAGACCCUGUGAAUAGAUAUAGAUGAGAUAGAGUGGAUGAGCAUCACAAAAUGCAGAGGUUUUAGCAAAAGAAUGAGUCAAGAACUUAGUUUUAGUUUUCCACAAAAAGCAUUUUGGAUCAACCGAUUUGUAAACUCGGUGAUACCGAAGCAGCUGCUGGAACCUAAACUAGUGAACUCGGUCAGACCGAGUCACAGUUCGGUGGCACCGAGACUGCUAGGGUUUCACAAAUUCCUGAACUCGGUCACACCGAUUUGCAAUUCUCGGUCAGACCAAAAAUUACAUGUGCAAUGGCCUAAGCCAAAUCGGUGGUACCGAGUUCCACAACUCGAUGGGUCCGAGAUGGUUUCGGCGGAAACCUAACCCUAAAUUUUCAAUUCAUAACUAAACUACGGAGUGUUUUGACUGGAUAAGAAUGAUCUCAAUCAUGGCAAGAUACAUGGCGAACACAAUGUGCUAGGAAUCAGAUAGGGAUAGCACAGUGAUCGAGUUCAUACCCUAGUUCGGCGAUGAACUCGCUACGGCGGCAACGGCGGGGAUGAUUCCCGUUAACGGCGGCGGAGACCAGCAGCAGGAGGCGGCUGGCGACGAGGAAGACGAUCCGGAGACCCUGGAGGCAGAGCGGGCUAAGCGCGGUCGAGGAGGUUCAGAAAGUUUUCCAAAAUUUGACCUGUGGGUAUAUAUAGCAUGACCCUGUCGGUGUGACCGAGUGGAACAACUCGGUGGCACCGAGAUUCAUAACUGCAAUCAGUUACUGAAACUCGGUGUGACUGAAAGGUUCAAAUCGGCUGCACCAAGAUUGAAAACCUAGAUCGACUUAGUGAUCUCGGUAUGACCGAAAUGGAUGAAUUGGUCAGACCGAAACGCACAAAGAAGUUUUGGAAGUUUAAGUCUAUGACGAAUCGGGGACUCCGAGUGCUCCUCACAUAGAGUGGUUCGAAUCUGACUUGAUCAAAUUUUGUGAUGUAGCAUGAAUAGAGUUUGAGACGAGAAAAGCAUAGAUAGCUAGGGAGGGUUCUUAGGCAUUCUUGUCCAUCCACUUGGCAAAAGAAAAGAAAACCAAUCAAUCAAAACAACAAGUGGAUGUCCUCGAAUGAGUAAAAUAUGCAAUCAACAUGCUCACACAAUAAAAUGGCAAUUGAAAUAUGUCGCAAAGCAUGCACAACCAAUUCUAGAAUCUAUCAAACAAUUUGCGAUGACUAGGUCAUCUAUAUAUGAGUAUAUUGACUUAGGAGUCAAAUGAGAACAUUUGAUCAUAGGUCAUACUCAUCGUUUAAGCACAAGUGGGGUUACCACUUUUACAUAAAGCAUUGUUGUGCUCACACCAUUAGAGUUGCUUUAGCUCAAUUCUUAGAGUAAAGCUCCCCCUAGAUGUGAGAUCCCCCCUAAGAGGGAUGAACUAACCUUGGGUUUUGUCGAUGAUGACUUCAUGUAGAUGUUGAAGAUGUGGAUGCUCAAUGUUGAUGUAGAUCAUUUGAAGCUAUCCAUUGGAGUGAGUUGCACUUUCAAUACCUACAUGGGUUAGUCCCACAAGGAACAAACAAGGAUAUCCAUAGACAUAAAGUGAUGCACACACAAGAUGAUGUCUAUGAAAGCUUUUAGGUUACCUUGUCCCUUGUCUUACCAACAAGAGGGUUUGUGACUCCUUGAACUAGUGCAAGAUGUGGAAGUUGAUUGCACUUGUUCUUGCCAAGAUGAUAAAAGUGAAGUAUGUUGGCAGAGUCACCCUCAAGAACUCUCUAGUUCUUCUUCUUCAGGAUCCACACCAUCUUGAUGGGAAUCCUCGGUGUUGUAGUUGUACUUGAUGAAGUGGAACUUGAAGUAGUCUUGUGAACCCACUUGACCAAGGCCUUAGGAGCUUAUUCAAAUGCAUCAAUUUCCUCUUGAAGCUUGUCCUUGCCUUUUUGCUUGUGGUCUUGUGGUGGAAGAUCAUCUUGAGCUUGUGUCCCUUUGAAAGAAGUAGGAUCAUACUUCUCUUGUUGAGGAACAAACUUCGUCUUGGGGUAUUGAUCUUCUUCCCACUCAACUCCAUUGGCAUUGAACUUUCGUUCAAAACCAACACCUUGAUUCUUUAGGUGCCUUCCUUGCUUGCGUACAAUUUCCUCGAAUUGCUUACUUCCGGCAAGGCUCAUGUAAACACCUUUCUCUAUAAUUCCCUUCAAUAAGCUAUUUUCUUGCUCAAGUGUAACUUGGCUAAGAGAAUCAUUAGUGGAAUCAAGAGAACUACUAGAAGCAACAAUAUUGGAUUUAGCAUGAUUAUUGUUACUACUAGAGGAAGAAUCUUUCUUGUUCUUGUUACUAGACUUGACUUGAGGCAUGUAAGUGGAUAAGAGUAAACGCUUGGCAAUGUAAGAAGAACUUUUCUUACGAAGAUCAUCAUUGAUUGCUUUUAAGAGCUCAUGCUCUUGCUCAAGGUUGAGCUUUCCAAAGCGUAAUUUCUCAUGAGUCCUUAAAAGUUCUCGAUGAUCUCCUAAGAUAGUUUCAUGAGCUAACUUAAGAGUGUUUAGUUCUUUAGUUAGAGACUCAAUCUUCUCCUUAUCAUUGUCAUUCGUUUUAUCUUGAUUAGCAUGAUUAAUUGACGUUUCAUCACAGUAUUCAUCACUAGAGUUGUCAACAAGUAAAUCAUCAUCACCUAACAAGUCAUCUUCAUCACUAUUGAAAUCAACAUACUCGGGGUGUGAUACCUUUGGGCCUUUAGCCAUGAAGCAUGUUCCAACUCCUUCAUUUGGUGAGUCAAAUAUGUCGUAGGAGUUGGUUGUCACAAGUGCUAGACCGACAACACCUUCAUCUUGAGUAUAUUCGGAGUCGGAGUGAUAGCUUCUCUCGGAGUGGUUGUCGGAGUCGGAGCCGGAUACCCAUUCACCAACAUGAGCUUGAUGUCUUCGUUUUGUGUAGCUCCUUGAUGACUUGUCCUUUCUUUCCGAAUCCUUGCUUCUUUGUGAGGGUCUUCGUUCAUAACGAUCAUCUCUACUCCUUCUUUCUCUAGACGGUGAUUCUUCUCUUCUCUUGUAGGGGGCCGUACACUCAUUGGAAUAGUGUCCGGGCCUUCCACAAUUGUAGCAGUUUCGCUCUCGACUAGAAUAUCUUUUGUCAUUGUAGGACCUUAACUUGGAGCUUCUCUCUUUGCUUCUACUCUUGUAGAACUUGUUGAAGUUCUUCACCAUUAAGCUUAAUUCUUCAUUGAAGGUUUGUUUCUCACUCGAUGAUGUGGGGGCUUCACAUGAGGCUUUGUAAGCACCACUUGAUUUGUUGUGAAGUUCCUCUUUAUCCUUGAGUGACAUCUCAUGAGCAACAAUUCUUCUGAUGACUUCCGCUGGCUUGAGAUCUUUGUAAUUUGGCAUCAUUUGGAUCAAUGUGCACACGGUAUCAUAUUUUCCAUCCAAGGCUCUUAGGAUCUUCUUGAUGAUGAAUCUAUCGGUCAUCUCUUCACUCCCUAAACCGGCAAUCUCAUUUGUGAUAAGAGCAAGCCUAGAGUACAUUUCAGCAACACCUUCACCAUCCUUCAUUUUGAACUUGUCAAGUUGACUUUGAAGCACAUCCAAUUUGGAUUCCUUGACGGAGUCGGUACCUUCAUGCAUAUCAAUCAAAGUAUCCCAAAUCUCCUUUGCAUUCUCAAGAUGGCUGAUUUUGUUGAAUUCUUCGGGGCACAAUCCGUUGAAGAGGAUAUCACAAGCUUGAGCGUUGUAUUGCAGCAUUUUCAACUCUUCCGCGGUGGCUUCACGGUUUUGUUCUUUUCCGUCAAAGAAUUCACCUUGCAAGCCAAUACACACAAUAACCCAAACGGCGGGGUUAUGUCCAAGAAUAUGCAUUUUCAUCUUAUGCUUCCAACUAGCAAAAUUAGUGCCAUCAAAGUAAGGACAUCUACGAUGAUAAUUUCCCUCACCAGACGCCAUACUCUCCUAGGUUGUGAAACCAAGGCUAUGACCGCCAAAUGCUAUGGAAAUCAAAGCAAAUGGAGACCAAAGCUCUGAUACCACUUGUAGGAUCGAAAGUAUGUCUAGAGGGGGGGUGAUUAGACUACUUGACCAAAUAAAAAUCUAGCCUUUUCCCAAUUUUAGUUCUUGGCAGAUUUUAGCUAUCUUAGCACAAGUCAAGCAAUCUCCACACAAUUCAAGCAAGCAUGCAAAAGAGUAUAUGAGCAGCGGAAAGUAAAGCAUGCAACUUGCAAGAAUGUAAAGGGAAGGGUUUGGAGGAUUCAGACGCAAUUGGAGACACAGAUGUUUUUGUCGUGGUUCCGAUAGGUGGUGCUAUCGUACAUCCACGUUGAUGGAGACUUCAACCCAUGGAGGGUAACGGUUGCGCGAGUCCACGGAGGGCUCCACCCACGAAGGGUCCACGAAGAAGCAACCUUGUCUAUUCCAUCACGGCCGUCGCCCACGAAGGACUUGCCUCACUAGCGGUAGAUCUUCACGAAGUAGGCGAUCUCCUUGCCCUUGCAAACUCCUUGGUUCAACUCAACAAUCUUGUCGGAGCCUCCCAAGUGACACCUAGCCAAUCUAGGAGACACCACUCUCCAAGAAGUAACAAAUGGUGUGUUGAUGAUGAACUCCUUGCUCUUGUGCUUCAAAUGAUAGUCUUCCCAACACUCAACUCUCUCUCACAGGAUUUGGAUUUGGUGGAAAGAAGAUUUGAGUGGAAAGCAACUUGGGGAAGGCUAGAGAUCAAGAUUCAUAUGGUUGGAAUGGAAUAUCUUGACCUCAACACAAGUGUAGGUGGUUCUCUCUCAGAAAAUGUGUAUUGGAAGUGUAGGUAUGUUCUGAUGGCUCUCUCCACGAAUGAAGAGUGGGUGGAGGGGUAUAUAUAGCCUCCACACAAAAUCUAACCGUUACACACAAUUUGCCAAACUCGGUGGGACCGAAUGGUUAAACUCGGUCGGACCGAUUCAGCAAACCUAGUGACCGUUAGGAUUUUUGGUGGGACUAAGAUGCAACUCGGUAGGACCGAUAUGGUUAGGGUUAGGGCAUAACGUAAUCUCGGUGUGACCGAUUACACAAACUCGGUGGGACCGAUUUUGGUAAUAAGCUAACCAGAGAGUUGGUCAGGUAAACUCGGCGAGACCGAUUCGCUCAUCUCGGUGAGACCGAAGUGUUACAAAAGGGAAACAUAGAGUUUACAUUGCAAUCUCGGUGGGACCGAUCGCUCAUCUCGGUAAGACCGAAACGUUACGAAGGGAAACAAAGAGAUUACAAUCCCAUCUCGGUGAGACCGAGAUCCCUAUCGGUGAGACCGAUUUGCCUAGGGUUUGUGGCAGUGGCUAUGACAUUUGAAACUCGGUGGCACCGGAUAGAAAGAAUCGGUGGGGCCGAGUUUGACUUUUGGUUUAGGUCAUAUGUGGAUGUGGGAAGGUAGUUGAGGAUUUUGGAGCAUAUCACUAAGCAUUUUGAGAAAGCAAGCCAUUAAGCAACACCUCAUCCCUCCUUGAUAGUAUUGGCUUUUCCUAUAGACUCAAUGUGAUCUUGGAUCACUAAAAUAUAAAAUGUAGAGUCUUGAGCUUCAAGCUUGAGCCAAAUUUUUUGCCUUAGAAUUUUGAGGGAUCCACUUUCCUCAUCCAUGCCAUGCCAUUCAUUGAGCUUUUCCUGAAAUAUUAAUCUUGGAAUAAUGUUAGCUCAAUGAGCUAUAUGUUGUUAGGAAUUACCAAAACCACCCAGGGAUAGUUGCACUUUCAGACGUCACUGAGCUGAACGUGUGCAGAUCGGGGGAGGUGACAUACUUUCGGUGCUAGGAUCGGUCGGAUCAUGAAGACGUUCGACUACAUCAACCGUGUUGUCAUAACGCUUCCGCUUCCGGUCUACGAGGGUACAUGGACACCACUCUUCCCCUCUCGUUGCUAUGCAUCACCUAGAUAGAUCUUGCGUGUGCGUAUAAUUUUUUUAGAAAUACGUUACCCAACAGUUGUAUCCGAGCCAGGUAUAUGCGCAUAUGUUAUAUGCAUGAGUAGAACACAAAGGAGUUGUGGGCGUGGGUAUAUACAUAUUGCUUGCCGUCACUAGUUGUUUCUUGAUUCGGCGGUAUUGUUGGAUGAAGCGGCUGAUACGUCUCCGACGUAUCUACUUUUCCAAACACUUUUGCCCUUGUUUUGGACUCUAACUUGCAUGAUUUGAAUGGAACUAACCCGGACUGACGCUGUUUUCAACAGAAUUGCUAUGGUGUUAUUUAUGUGCAGAAACAAAAGUUCUCGGAAUGACCUGAAACUUCACGGAACACCUUUUCAGAAAAUAUAAAAAAUCCUUGCAAAAGGUGAAGACCAGGGGGCACCACCUGUCCACGAGGGUGGGGGUGCGCCUGCCUCCCUAGGGCAUGCCCCCCUACCUCGUGGGCCCCCUGGAGCUCCUCCGACCUCAGCCCCAAGUCUAUAGAUUUGCUUUUGGGGAGAAAAAAUAAAAGAGAAGAAUUCAUCGCGUUUUACGAUACGGAGCCGCCGCCAAGCCCUAAAGCCUCUCGGGAGGGCUGAUCUGGAGUCCGUUAGGGGCUCCGGAGAGGGGAAUCCGUCGCCAUCGUCAUCAUCAACCAUCCUCCAUCACCAAUUUCAUGAUGCUCACCGCCGUGCGUGAGUAAUUCCGUCGUAGGCUUGCUGGACGGUGAUGGGUUGGAUGGGAUCUAUCAUGUAAUCGAGUUAGUUUUGUUAGGGUUUGAUCCCUAGUAUCCACUAUGUUCUGAGAUUGAUGUUGCUAUGACUUUGCUAUGCUUAAUGCUUGUCACUAGGGCCCGAGUGCCAUGAUUUCAGAUCUGAACCUAUUAUGUUUUCAUCAAUAUAUGAGAGUUCUUGAUCCUAUCUUGCAAGUCUAUAGUCACCUAUUAUGUGUUAUGAUCCGUUAACCCCGAAGUGACAAUAAUCGGGAUACGUACCGGUGAUGACCGUAGUUUGAGGAGUUCAUGUAUUCACUAUGUGCUAAUGCUUUGUUCUGGUACUCUAUUAAAAGGAGGCCUUAAUAUCCCUUAGUUUCCAUUAGGACCCCGCCACGAGAGGGUAGGACAAAAGAUGUCAUGCAAGUUAUUUUCCAUAAGCAUGUAUGACUAUAUUCGGAAUACAUGCCUACAUUACAUCGAUGAAUUGGAGCUAGUUCUGUGUCACCCUAGGUUAUGACUGUUACAUGAUGAACCGCAUCCGGCAUAAUUCUCCAUCACUGAUCCAUUACCUACAAGCUUUCCAUAUAUUGUUCUUCACUUAUUUACUUUUUCGUUGCUAUUGCUAUCAUCACUACAAAAUACCAAAAACAUUACUUUUACUAUCAUUACCUUUUGCUACCGUUACCACUACUAUCAUGUUACUUUGCUACUAAAUACUUUGCUGCAGAUAUUAAGUUUCCAGGUGUGGUUGAAUUGACAACUCAGCUGCUAAUACUCGAGAAUAUUCUUUGGCUCCCCUUGUGUCAAAUCAAUAAAUUUGGGUUGAAUACUCUACCCUCGAAAACUGUUGCGAUCCCCUGUACUUGUGGGUUAUCAAGACUAUUUUCUGGCGCCGUUGCCGGGGAGCAUAGCUCUAUUCUUUGAGUCACUUGGGAUUUAUAUCGGCUUAUCAUUAUGAAGAACUUGAGAGAUCCAAAAACCAAGAUUUAUCCCUCAACUACGAGGGGAGGUAAGGAACUGCCAUCUAGCUUUGCACUUGAUUCACCUUCUGUUUUGAGUAAGCUUGAGACACCUAAACCUGCUUUUGUUAUUCGUUCUGAUAUGUCGCAUGUUAUUGAUGAUGCCACUUCUGCUAUGCAUGAUACUUAUGAUGAAACUACUUCUAUGAUUGAUACUACUGUGCCACUUGGUGCAUUUCUUGAUGAACAACUUGCUAGGGCUAGAGAGAAUGGAAAUAUUGAAUCUGAUAAUACCGAUGAAAGUGAUGAUGAAGAUUCACCUGUUAUUCCUAAGGGUUAUGUUUUUGAUAAAGAAGCUUCUUUAGCUAUUUUAGCUUGCAAAGAUAGAUACGAACUUAAGACGUUAUUAGCUAAAUGGAAUAAGCAAUCUCUAAAUGCUAGAAUGAAACCUGGCCCUGCUUUUGCUACUUCACCUAUCUGUGUUACCGAUAAUGAUUAUGAAUUCUCGGUUGAUCCUGAUAUAAUUACUUUGGUUGAAUCUGAUCCUUUUCAUGGCUAUGAAUCUGAAACUGUUGUGGCACAUCUUACUAAAUUAAAUGAUAUAGCCACCCUGUUCACUAAAGAUGAGAGAACUCGCUACUUUUAUAUCCUUAAAAUAUUUCCGUUCUCAUUAAAGGGUGAUGCUAAGAUAUGGUCUAAUUCUCUUGAUCCUGGUUGUGUGCGUAGUCCCCAGGAUAUGAUUUAUUACUUCUCUGCUAAAUAUUUCCCUGCUCAUAAGAAACAAGCUGCUUUAGGGGAUAUAUAUAAUUUUGUGCAAAUUGAAGAAGGGAGUCUCCCACAAGCUUGGGGGAGGCUUCUCAAAUUACUUAAUGCUUUGCCUGAUCAUCCUCUUAAGAAAAAUGAAAUACUUGAUAUCUUUUAUAAUGGACUAGCCGAUGCUUCCAGAGAUUACCUGGAUAGUUGUGCUAGUUCUGUUUUCAGGGAAAGAACACCGGAUGAAGCUGAAAUUCUAUUGAAUAAUAUGUUGACAAAUGAAAAUAAUUGGACACUUCCUGAACCAGUUCCUGAUCCAGUUCCUGAACCAACUCAUGAGCUAAUUCCUAAACCAACUCCGAAGAAGAGGGGUAUUCUAUUUCUCAGUCCUGAAGAUAUGCAUGAGGCAAAGAAACCUAUGAAAGAAAAAGGUAUUAAAGUUGAAGAUGUUAAGAAUUUACCUCCUAUUGAAGAAAUACAUGGUCUUAAUUUACCGCCUAAUGAAGAAACAUAUGAUCGUAAUCCAUUACCUAUUGAAGAAACUCAUGGCCUUGAGAACCCGACACAGGUAGUAAAGGUAAAUUCUCUCUAUAGAUAUGAUAAAGCUAAAAUCCCAUUUACAAAGUUUGCUAGCCCAUGCUUAGAUGAGUUUGAUAAAUUUAUGGCUAAGCAAGAAGACUUCAAUGCUUAUUUUCGUAGACAAUUGAAAUACAAUUCAAAUAUGCUUGAACACUUGGGUGAUUAUAUGGCUAAUGUUAAAGGUGAACUUAAACUUAUUAGUAAACAUGCUUCUAUGGUUACCACUCAAGUAGAACAAGUACUUAAAGCUCAAAAUGAUUUGCUCAAUGAAUUGAAUAGUAACAAUAAUGAUAAUGUUGUUAGAGUUAUGACUAGAGGUGGUAAAAUGACUCAGGAACCUUUGUAUCUUGAAGGCCAUCCUAAAAGGAUUGAGAAAGAUUCUCAGAGAAAUAAUAUAGAUGCACCUAGUCCUUCUAAUAGGAAGAAAAAGAAAAAUGAUAGGACUUUAAAUGCUUCUAGUAAACCUAUUACUGAAACACCUGAGAAUCCAAAUGAUAUUUCUAUUUCUGAUGCUGAAACACAAUUUGGUAAUGAACCUGAAACUAGUGAUAAUGUUAAUGAUAAUGUUCAUGAUGAUGCUCAACCUAGUAAUGAUAAUGAUAUAGAAAUUGAACCUGUUGUUGAUCCUGAUAACCCAUAAUUAAAGAAUCAAUGUUAUGAUAAGAAAGACUUUGUUGCUAGGAAACACGGUAAGGAAAGAGAGCCCUGGGUUCAGAAACCCAUGCCUUUUCCUCCCAAACCAUCUAAGAAAAAGGAUGAUGAGGAUUUUGAGCGCUUUGCUGAAAUGAUUAGACCUUGAGAUUAACUGAUAUGCUUAAAAUGAAUCCUUAUGCUAAGUAUAUGAAAGAUAUUGUUACUAAUAAAAGAAAGAUACCAGCAGCUGAAAUUUCCACCAUGCUUGCUAAUUAUACUUUUGAGGGUGGAAUACCAAAGAAACUUGGAGAUCCAGGAGUACCCACUAUACCAUGCUCUAUUAAAAGAAACGAUGUUAAAACUGCUUUAUGUGAUCUUGGAGUCGGUGUUAGUGUUAUGCCUCUCUCUUUAUAUCGUAGACUUGAUUUGAAUAAGUUGACACCUACUGAAAUAUCUUUGCAAAUGGCUGAUAAAUCAACUACUAUACUUGUCGGUAUUUGUGAGGAUGUGCCUGUUGUAGUUGCAAACGUUACUAUUUUAACGGACUUUGUUAUUCUUGAUAUUCCCGAGGACGAUAGUAUGUCUAUUAUUCUUGGAAGACCCUUUUUGAAUACUGCAGGGGCUGUUAUUGAUUGCACUAAAGGCAAUGUCACUUUUCAUGUCAAUGGUAAUGAGCAUACGGUACACUUUCCGAGGAAACAACCUCAAGUCCACAGUAUCAAUUCUAUUGGAAAAAUUCCAUCGGUUAUAUUUGGAGGUUUUGAAUUUCCUCUUCCUCCUGUCAAGAAGAAAUAUGAUAUUCUUAUUAUUGGGGAUGUACAUAUCCCCGUUGAGGUAACAUAGUGUUAUUCGAAAUUUCUCCGGUUCCAUGCUAUUCGGAAAGAGUUCGUUAACAAGACUUGAUCAACCUUGUUAGUGGAUUCCUUUUGAUGAGCAUGAGAUGGAUGAAACUAGAAGGCACAACAUUCUGUACCCCACUUUUACUUUCUGUUAUUUAUAUUAAAUAAAAUAAAAAUAGUAUUUUCUGUCUGUUAUCUGAAUUAUCCGUGCAAUAUAAAAAUACCCCGAAAAUAAAAGUUCUCCAAAUGCCCUAAAAUUUAAAUAUGAUUUUUUUUCUAGAAUAUUUGAGAAUAUUUGGCACUAAGAACACAUCAGGAGGAGCUGGCACCUGGCUAUGAGGGUCAGGGGUGCGCCCUACCCCCCUGGGCGCACCCCUGCCUUGUGGGCCCAUGGUGGCCCUCCUCCACUUAUUCCUGCACCCACACACUUCUUCUUCCUCCUACAAACACGAAUAUCCAGCUCAAGCACGAGUUCUAGCUCAUUUUGCUACCAUUUUCGAUCUCCUUGCUCAAAGCACCUCUCACAAAACUGCUUGGGGAGAUUGUUCCUUGGUAUGUGACUCCUUCGUUGGUCCAAUUAGUUUUUUUCUAGUUCUUUAUUCAUUGCAGACCAUGUUCUUGAGCUUGCAUGUCAAAUUUAUAUGGUUCCAAGUAGUUUUGAUGCAUGAUAUAGGCUCUAGGCACUUGUAUGAGUAGUUGCUAUCAAUAUUAUUGAGUUUGGUUCACUUUUUAUUUUUGAAGUUACUAAAUUUUUUAGAAUUUUUCAGAAAAUGAUGAAGAGAUUUUUGAGGGGCUCAUCGAGCCAAAGCUCAAGGGAAAAGCAAAAUGAAGAGGCACAGAAGCCUAAGUAUAAUCUGCCUCGCACCGCGGAGGUUAGGCCGUGUGAAUGGCCCUCCGAUGAUUUCUUGAGAGCCACCGAGAUUUAUAAGGAUUUUUAUGAAUUGGCUAAUAAUGCAGGCCUCACCGACUUCCUCCACGACCAACGCGAACAGUAUCUCUUACUCACCAAUACUUUUGUGCAAAACUUCUACUAUUAUCCUAGGGAAUCACCUCCUUUAGUAGAGUUUCAUUUAUAUGAUGUGGUUAAGAAGAUGUCACUUUAUGAUUUUUGUCGGGUUUGCUUGAUCCCUUUCGAGGGAAAAAUAGAGGAACCACAUCAUGACGAUGUGGAUGGGUUUAUUGAUACCAUCACUAUAGGGGAAACGAGGAAGGUUUCCGAUGCACGAAUCACUAGCAUACAUUUUCCUGUUUUACGCUACUUUGCAAUAUUCGCUAGUCGUUGCUUAAUUGGUCAUGGAAACUAUGGAAAUCUUAGUGUUCCUGAUAUUAUUAUUUUGUUCCAUGGUUUAUUCUGUGAUAACUCUGUGAGUAUGGGCGGUAUUAUUGCUAAACAGUUGAGUCUGAACCGUACAAAGGGCCCCAUCUUUGGUGGUAUUUAUGCUUCACGCCUAGCUGCACAUUUUAACAUACCUAUUAGGCAUUAUGAGAAGGAAGAAAAAUUGUUGCCUCGUGUUUAUUUAGAUUAUAAGAGUAUGGUAGCACAUGAUUUCAUUAUAAAGAAUAGGGAAGGGGAGCUUAAAUACAAAUUGUUCUUUGAUAAACAUCAUCCGAAGACUAUUACCUUGCUUGCUCCUUCCUUGUUUGAUUUAUCUGCAGGCCAGUACCUCGUCUCGCCGGAGGACAUUCACGCCUACCGGAACCCUGCACCAGACAUAGAGCCAGAGUCGGAACCACCAGUUGAUCCUCCACGACAGUCUAAUUACCAGUGGGAUCCGGAGAUGAUUGCCAACCAGUGGCAGUCAGAGUCUUCUUCUUCGCAGUACAACCCCAACUAUUAUUAUGGAUAUCUGCCAGGCCAGCUGUGGCCAUAGACCAACUUAGGCCAAAAGCCUAAGCUUGGGGGAGUACGUAUUUCCCACCGACAUUACAUUUAUGUUCACACACUCAUUGCUAGAUGUCGGUGCUCAUACGUUUUCAUUGUAUCAUCCAUGCUAGUUUAUCUCCUUUUUAUGCUUUCUUCUUGUGUGUUUAAUAAACCUUAAGAAAAAACCAAAAGAUUAGUGGUAGCUUGAGUUAGUUUACUUUCCAUGCUUGUAGUAGUAAUUAAAAAGAAAACCCAAAAAGAUUUCAUGUUCUUCUUUUACUUGUUGGGAGCUUUCCCGUGUAAAUAGUUUUAUUUCUUUUCUUUUCUUUGGGGGUCGAUAGGAGAAGACCAUAAUUAAAUUAUUGAAGUGGAUCUUAUAUGCAUUAUUGUUAAUCUGACAAAAGAGCCCAUAUUGCCUUGUCUUCUCCUGUUUAUUGAAUGCUUGCAGAUUCCAGCUUAGUCCAAUGCACGCGCACUAUUAUUAUUAUUCACAUCGUUCGGUCAUGCAAGUGAAAGGCAAUUAUGACGAUAUAUGAUGGACUGACUGAGAUGAGAAAGGCUACUAUGAACUCGACCUCUUUUGUUUUGUAAAUAUGAUUAGUUCAUCAUUCCUGAUUCAGCCUAUUAUGAAUAAACAUGUUUGCAAUGACAACUAUAAAUCAUAGUUUCUUGUGUCAUGCUUGAUUAGCUAUGAGUUAUAAUGGUUUACCUUGCGUGCCAACAUGCUAUUAAAAUGGUUGUGAUGUGGUAUGAUAGGGUGGUAUCCUCCUCUGAAUGAUUUAAGUGACUUGACUUGGCACAUGUUCACGCAUGUAGUUGAAACAAAAUCAACAUAGCCUUCAUGAUAUUUAUGUUCAUGGUGGAUUAUAUCCUACUCAUGCUUGCAUUCGGUGUUGAUUAAUUCUAAUGCAUGUUCAUGACUGUUGUCGCUCUCUAGCUGGUCGCUUCCCACUCUUUUGCUAGCCUUCACCUGUACUAAGCGGGAAUACUGCUUGUGCAUCCAAUCCCAUAAACACCAAAGUUAUUCCAUAUGAGUCCACCAUACCUACUUAUAUACGGUAUCUACCUGCCGUUCCAAGUAAAUUUGUAUGUGCCAAACUCUAAACCUUCAAAUAAAUAUCAUGUUUUGUAUGCUCGAAUAGCUCAUGUAUCAACUAUGGCUGUCCGUAUCUUCCAUGUUAGGCGGGUUAUUCUCAAGAGGAGUGAACUCCGCUCCUCACUCACGAGAAAAUGGCUGGUCACCUGGAUGCCCAAUCCCAUGCUUUAUGCAAAUCAAAUCAAAAUAAUUGCAAACAAAACUCCCCCUGGGACUCUUGUUAGUUGGAGGCACUCAUUGUUUCGAGCAAACCAUGGAUUGAUGCUUGUUGGUGGAGGGGGAGUAUAAACUUUACCAUUCUGUUUGGGAACCGCCUAUAAUGUGUGUAGCAUGGAAGAUAUCGCCAUCUCUUGGUUGUUAUGUUGACAAUGAAAGUAUACCGCUCAAAAUAUUAUUCAUCUCUAUUUCAAAACCGAGCGCUAGCGCCUCUACAAAUCCCUGCUUCCCUCUGCGAAGGGCCUAUCUAUUUACUUUUAUGCUGAGUCAUCAUCCUCUUAUUAAAAAGCACUAGUUGGAGAGCACCACUGUCAUUUGCAUUCAUUAUUGUUAGUUUACAUUGAGUAUGACUUGACUGGAUCUCUUUUACCAUGAAUUACAAUGUCUAGUCAGUCCUUGGUCUUUAAAGGUGCUCUGCAUUUAUGUUUUGCGGUCUCAGAAAGCGCUAGCGAGAUACCAUUUUGUUAUAUCAUAUUAUGAUUGUUUUGAGAAAGUGUUGUCAUCCGAGAUUUAUUAUUAUUGCUUGCUAGUUGAUUAUGCCAUUAAUAUGAGUGAACUUGAGACCUAAGCAUUAUUGUGAAUGUGGUUAGUCAUAAUCUUUGCUGAAAACUUGAAUGCUGGCUUUACAUAUUUACAACAACAAGAGCAAACAGAGUUUGUAAAAGUUUUUCCUUAUCACUUUCAGUUUGUCAACUGAAUUGCUUGAGGACAAGCAAAGGUUUAAGCUUGGGGGAGUUGAUACGUCUCCGACGUAUCUACUUUUCCAAACACUUUUGCUCUUGUUUAGGACUCUAACUUGCAUGAUUUGAAUGGAACUAACCCAGAUUGACGUUGUUUUCAGCAGAAUUGCUAUGGUGUUAUUUAUGUGCAGAAACAAAAGUUCUCGGAAUGACCUGAAACUUCACGAAACACCUUUUUGGAAAAUAUAAAAAAUCCUUGCAAAAGAUGAAGACCAGGGGGCCCACCACCUGUCCACGAGGGUGGGGGCGCGCCUGCCUCCCUAGGGCGCGCCCCCCUACCUUGUGGGCCCCUGGAGCUCCUCCGACCUCAACCCCAAGUCUAUAUAUUUUCUUUCGGGGAGAAAAAAUAAAAGAGAAGAAUUCAUCGCGCUUUACGAUACGAAGCCGCCGCCAAGCCCUAAAACCUCUCGGGAGGGCUGAUCUGGAGUCCGUUCGGGGCUCCGGAGAGGGGAAUCCGUCGCCAUCGUCAUCAUCAACCAUCCUCCAUCACCAAUUUCAUGAUGCUCACCGCCGUGCGUGAGUAAUUCCAUCGUAGACUUGCUGGACGGUGAUGGGUUGGAUGGGAUCUAUCAUGUAAUCGAGUUAGUUUUGUUAGGGUUUGAUCCCUAGUAUCCACUAUGUUAUGAGAUUGAUGUUGCUAUGACUUUCCUAUGCUUAAUGCUUGUCACUAGGGCCCAAGUGCCAUGAUUUCAGAUCUGAACUAUUAUGUUUUCAUCAAUAUAUGAGAGUUCUUGAUCCUAUCUUGCAAGUCUAUAGUCACCUAUUAUGUGUUAUGACCCGUUAACCCCGAAGUGACAAUAAUUGGGAUACUUACCGGUGAUGACCGUAGUUUGAGGAGUUCAUGUAUUCACUAUGUGCUAAUGCUUUGUUCCAGUACUCUAUUAAAAGGAGGCCUUAAUAUCCCUUAGUUUCCAUUAGGACCCCGCUGCCACGGGAGGGUAGGACAAAACAUGUCAUGCAAGUUCUUUUCCAUAAGCACGUAUGACUAUAUUCGGAAUACAUGCCUACAUUACAUCGAUGAAUUGGAGCUAGUUUUGUGUCACCCUAGGUUAUGACUGUUACAUGAUGAACCGCAUCCGGCAUAAUUCUCCAUCACUGAUCCAUUGCCUACGAGCUUUCCAUAUAUUGUUCUUCGCUUAUUUACUUUUCCGUUGCUAUUGCUAUCAUCACUACAAAAUACCAAAAACAUUACUUUUACUAUCAUUACCUUUUGCUACUGUUACCACUACUAUCAUAUUGCUUUGGUACUAAAUACUUUGCUGCAGAUAUUAAGUUUCCAGGUGUGGUUGAAUUGACAACUCAGCUACUAAUACUCGAGAAUAUUCUUUGGCUCCCCUUGUGUUGAAUCAAUAAAUUUGGGUUGAAUACUCUACCCUCGAAAACUGUUGCGAUCCCCUAUACUUGUGGGUUAUCAGCGGCCCAGACUGGCAUUACGCGUACGGUUACGUGAGACUGGUUCUACCGACGUGUUUCACACACAGGUGGCUGGUGGGUGUCAGUUUCUCCAACUUUAGUUGAAUCGGAUUCAAUGAACAGGGUUCUUUCUGAAGAUCAAAAAGCAAUCACUAUACCACAUUGUGGUUUUUGAUGCGUAGGUAAGAUCGGUUCUUGCUCAGCUCAUAGCAGCCACGUAAAACUUGCAACAACAAAGUAGAGGAUGUCUAACUUGUUUUGGCAGGGCAUGUUGUGAUGUGAUAUGGUCAAGACAUGAUGCUAAAUUUUAUUGUAUGAGAUGAUCAUUUUUUGUAACAGAGUUAUCUGCAACUGGCAGGAGCCAUAUGGUUGUUGCUUUAUUGUAUGAAAGCAAUCGCCAUGUAAUUGCUUUACUUUAUCACUAAGCGGUAGCGAUAGUCGUAGAAGCAAUAGUUGGCGAGACGACAACGAUGCUUUGAUGGAGAUCAAGGUGUCAAGCCGGUGAUGAUGGUGAUCAUGACGGUGCUUUGGAGAUGGAGAUCAAAGGCACAAGAUGAUGAUGGCCAUAUCACAUCACUUAUAUUAAUUGCAUGUGAUGUUUAUCCUUUAUGCAUCUUAUUUUGCUUAGUUCGGCGGUAGCAUUAUAAGAAGAUCUCUCACUGAAUUUCAAGGUAUAAGUGUUCUUCCUGAGUAUGACCGUUGCUACAGUUUGUCAUGCUGAGACACCACGUGAUGAUCGGGUGUGAUAAGCUCUACGUUCACAUACAACGGGUGCAAGCCAGUUUUGCACACGUGGAAUACUCGGGUUAAACUUGACGAGCCUAGCAUAUGCAGAUAUGGCCUCAGAACACUGAGACCAAGAUCGAGCGUGAAUCAUAUAGAAGAUAUGAUAAACAUAGUGAUGUUCACCAUUGAAAACUACUCCAUCUCACGUGAUGAUCGGACAUGGUUUAGUUGAUAUGGAUCACGUGAUCACUUAGAUGAUUAGAGAGAUAUCUAUCUAAGUGGGAGUUCUUAAGUAAUUUGAUUAAUUGAACUUUAAUUUAUCAUGAACUUAGUACCUGAUAGUAUUUUGCAUAUCUAUGUUGUUGUAGAUAGAUGGCCCGUGCUGUUGUUCCAUUGAAUUUUAAUGUGUUCCUAGAGAAAGCUAAGUUGAAAGAUGAUGGUAGAAACUACACGGACUGGGUCUGUAACUUGAGAAUUAUCCUCAUUGCUGCACAGAAUAAUUAUGUCCUGGAAGCACCGCUAGGUGACAAACCCGCUGCAGGAGUAACGCCAGAUGUUGUGAACACCUGGCAGAGCAAAGCCGAUGACUACUCGAUAGUUUAGUGUGCCAUGCUUUACGGCUUAGAACCAGGACUUCAACGACGUUUUGAACGUCAUGGAGCAUAUGAGAUGUUCCAGGAGUUGAAGUUAAUAUUUCAAGAAAAUGCCCAGAUUGAGAGAUAUGAAGUCUCCAAUAAGUUCUACAGCUGCAAAAUGGAGGAGAAUAGUUCUGUCAGUGAACAUAUACUCGGAAUGUCUGGGUACCACAACCACUUGACUCAGUUGGGAGUUAAUCUCCCUGAUGAUAGUGUUAUUGAUGGAGUUCUUUAAUCACUGCCACCAAGCUACAAGAGCUUUGUGAUGAACUAUAAUAUGCAAGGGAUGGAUAAGACGAUUCCUGAGCUCUUCGCAAUGCUAAAGGCUGCGGAGGUAGAAAUUAAGAAGGAGCAUCAAGUGUUGAUGGUCAACAAGACCACCAGUUUCAAGAAAAAGAGUAAACGGAAGAAGGGGAACUUGAAGAAGAACAGCAAGCCAGUUGCUGCCCAAGUGAAGAAACCCAAGUCUGAACCUAAGCCUGAGACUGAGUGCUUCUACUGCAAAGGAACUGGUCACUGGAAGCAGAACUGCCCCAAGUAUUUGGCGGAGAAGAAGGAUGGCAAAGUGAAAGGUAUAUUUGAUAUACAUGUUAUAGAUGUGUACCUUACUAAUGCUCACAGUAGUGCCUGGGUAUUUGAUACUGGUUCAGUUGCUAACAUUUGCAACUCGGAAUAGGGGCUACGGAUUAAGCGAAGAUUGGCUAAGGACAAGGUGACGAUGCACGUGGGAAAUGGUUCCAACGUCGAUGUGAUCGUCGUCGGCACGCUACCUCUACAUCUACCUUCGGGGUUAGUUUUAGACCUAAAUAACUGUUAUUUGGUGCCAGCGUUGAGCAUGAGCAUUAUAUCUGGAUCUUGUUUGAUAGAAGAUGAUUAUUCAUUUAAAUCAAAGAAUAAUGGUUGUUCUAUUUAUAUGAGUAAUAUCUUUUAUGGUCAUGCACCCUUGAUGAGUGGUCUAUUUUUACUAAAUCUUGAUAGUAGUGAUACACAUGUUCAUAGUAUUGAAGCCAAAAGAUGCAGAGUUGAUAAUGAUAGUGCAACUUAUUUGUGCCACUGCCGUUUCGGUCAUAUUGGUGUAAAGCGCAUGAAGAAACUCCAUUCUGAUGGACUUCUGGAAUCACUUGAUUAUGAAUCACUUGGUACUUGCGAACCAUGCCUCAUGGGCAAGAUGACUAAAACUCUGUUCUCCAGAACAAUGAAGCGAGCAACAGAGUUAUUGGAAAUCAUACAUACUGAUGUAUGUCGUCCAAUGAACAUUGAGGCUCGCGGCGGAUAUCGUUAUUUUCUCACCUUCGCAGAUGAUUUGAGCAGAUAUGGGUAUAUCUACUUAAUGAAACAUAAGUCUGAAACAUUUGAAAAGUUCAAAGAAUUUCAGAGUGAAGUGGAAAAUGAUCGUAACAAUAAAGUAAAGUUUCUACGAUCUGAUCGUGGAGGAGAAUAUUUGAGUCAUGAGUUUGGUCUUCAUUUCAAACAAAGCAGAAUAGUUUCGGAACUCAUGCCACCUGGAACACCACAACGUAAUGGUGUGUCUGAACGUCGUAACCACACUUUAUUAGAUAUGGUGCGAUCUAUGAUGUAUCUCACUGAUUUACCGCUAUCGUUUUGGGGUUAUGCUUUAGAGACGACUACAUUCAUGUUAAAUAGGGCACCAUCAAAAUCCAUUGAGACGACACCUUAUGAACUGUGGUUUGGCAAGAAACCCAAGUUGUCGUUUCUUAAAGUUUGGGGCUGCGAUGCUUAUGUGAAAAAGCUUCAACCUGAUAAGCUCGAACCAAAUUCGGAUAAAUGUGUCUUCAUAGGAUACCCAAAGGAGACUGUUGGGUACACCUUCUAUCAUAGAUCUGAAGGCAAGUUAUUCAUUGCUAAGAAUGGAUCCUUUCUAGAGAAGGAGUUUCUCUUGAAAGAAGUAAGUGGGAGGAAAGUAGAACUUCACGAGGUAAUUGUACCUUCUCCCUUAUUGGAAAGUAGUUCAUCACUGAAAUCAGUUCCAGUGAUUCCUACACCAGUAAGAGAGGAAGCUAAUGAUGAUGAUCAUGAAACUUUUGAUCAAGUUACUACCGAACCUCGUAGGUCAACCAGAGUAAGAUCCGCACUAGAGUGGUACGGUUAUCCUGUUCUAGAAGUCAUGUUACUUGACCAUGACGAACCUACAAACUAUGAGGAAGCGAAGAUGAGCCCAGAUUCCGAAAAAUGGCUUGAGGCCAUGAAAUCUGAGAUGGGAUCCAUGUAUGAGAACAAAGUAUGGACUUUGGUUGACUUGCCCGAUGAUAGGCAAGCCAAAGAGAAUAAAUGGAUCUUUAAGAAGAAGACUGACGCUGACGGUAAUGUUACUGUCUACAAAGCUCGACUUGUUGCAAAAGGUUUUCGACAAGUUCAAGGAGUUGACUACGAUGAGACCUUCUUAACCGUAGCGAUGCUUAAGUCCGUCUGAAUCAUGUUAGCAAUUGCCGCAUUUUAUGAUUAUGAAAUUUGGCAAAUGGAUGUCAAAACUGCAUUCUUUAAUGGAUAUCUUAAAGAAGAGUUGUAUAUGAUGCAACCAGAAGGUUUUGUCGAUCCAAACGGUGCUAACAAAGUGUGCAAGCUCCAGCGAUCCAUUUAUGGACUGGUGCAAGCCUCUCGGAGUUGGAAUAUAUGCUUUGAUAGUGUGAUCAAAGCAUAUGGUUUUAUACAAACUUUUGGAGAAGCAUGUAUUUACAAGAAAGUGAGUGGGAUCUCUAUAGCAUUUCUUAUAUUAUAUGUAGAUGACAUAUUGCUGACCGGAAAUGAUACUAAAUUUAUGAAUAGCAUAAAAGGAUAGUUGAAUAAGAAUUUUUCAAUGAAAUACCUCGGUGAAGGUGCUUAUAUAUUGGGCAUCAAGAUCUAUAGAGAUAGAUCAAGACGCUUAAUUGGACUUUCACAAAGCACAUACCUUGAUAAAGUUUUGAAGAAGUUCAAAAUGGAUCAAGCAAAGAAAGGGUUCUUGCCUGUGUUCCAAGAUGUGAAGUUGAGUCAGACUCAAUGCCCGACCACUACAGAAGAUAGAGAGAAAAUGAAAUCCAUUCCCAAUGCUUCAGCCAUAGGUUCUAUCAUGUAUGCAAUGUUGUGUCCCAGACCUGAUGUGUGCCUUGCUAUUAGUUUAGCAGGGAGGUACCAAAGUAAUCCAGGAGUGGAUCACUAGACAGCGGUCAAGAACAUCCUGAAAUACCUGAAAAGGACUAAGGAUAUGUUUCUCAUUUAUGGAGGUGACAAAGAGCUCGUCGUAAAUGGUUACGUCGAUGCAAGCUUUGACAUUGAUCUGGAUGACUCUAAGUCACAAACCGGAUACGUAUUUUUAUUAAAUGGUGGAGCUGUCAGUUGGUGCAGUCCCAAGCAGAGCGUCGUGGCGGGAUCUACAUGUGAAGCGGAGUACAUAGCUGCUUCGGAAGCAGCAAAUGAAGGAGUCUGAAUGAAGGAGUUCAUAUCCGAUCUAGGUGUCAUACCUAGUGCAUCGGGUCCAAUGAAAAUCUUUUGUGACAAUACUGGUGCAAUUGCCUUGGCAAAGGAAUCCAAAUUUCACAAGAGAACCAAGCACAUCAAGAGACGCUUCAAUUCCAUCCACGAGCAAGUCAAGGAGGGAGACAUAAAUAUUUGCAAGAUACAUAUGGAUCUGAAUGUUGCAUACCCGUUGACUAAGCCUCUCUCACGAGCAAAACAUGAUCAGCACCAAGACUCCAUGGCUGUUAGAAUCAUUACAAUGUAAUCUAGAUUAUUGACUCUAGUGCAAGUGGGAGACUGAAGGAAAUAUGCCCUAGAGGAAAUACUAAAGUUGUUAUUUAUAUUUCCUUAUAUCAUGAUAAAUGUUUAUUAUUCAUGCUAGAAUUGUAUUAACCAGAAACUUAGUACAUGUGUGAAUACAUAGACAAGUAGAGUGUCACUAGUAUGCCUCUACUUGACUAGCUUGUUGAAUCAAUGAUGGUUAUGUUUCCUGACCAUAGACAAGAGUGGUCACUUGAUUAACAGGAUCACAUCAUUAGAGAAUGAUGUGAUUGACUUGACCCAUCCGUUAGCUUAGCACGAUGAUCGUUUAGUUUGUUGCUAUUGCUUUCUCCAUAACUUAUACAUGUUCCUAUGACUAUGAGAUCAUGCAACUCCCAAAUACCGAAGGAACACUUAGUGUGCUAUCAAACGUCACAACGUAACUGGGUGACUAUAAAGAUGCUCUACAGGUGUCUCCGAUGGUGUUUGUUGAGUUGGCAUAGACCGAGAUUAGGAUUUGUCACUCCGAAUAUCGAAGAGGUAUCUCUAGGCCCUCUCGGUAAUGCACAUCACUAUAAGCCUUGCAAGCAAUGUAACUAAUGAGUUAGUUGCGGGAUGGUCCAUUACGAAAUGAGUAAAGAGACUUGCCGGUAACAAGAUUGAACUAGGUAUUGAGAUACCGACGAUCGAAUCUCGGGCAAGUAACAUACCGAUGACAAAGGGAACAGUGUAUGUUGUUGUGCGGUUUGACCGAUAAAGAUCAUCGUAGAAUAUGUAGGAACCAAUAUGAGCAUCCAGGUUCCGCUUUGGUUAUCGACCGGGGAUGAGUCUCGGUCAUGUCUACAUAGUUCUCGAACCCAUAGGGUCCGCACGCUUAAUGUUCGGUGACGAUCGGUAUUAUGAGUUUAUGUGUUUUGAUGUACCGAAGGUAGUUCGGAGUCCCGGAUUUGAUCACGGACAUGACGAGGAGUCUCGAAAUGGUUGAGACAUAAAGAUCGAUAUAUUGGAAGCCUAUAUUUGGACAUUGGAAUGGUUCCGUAUGAGUUCGGGAAUUUUCUGGAGUACCGGGAGGUUACCGGAACCCCCCGGGGAGUAUAUGGGCCUUAUUAGACCUUAGUGGAAUAGAGGAGGGGAAGGGAAAAGGUGGGAGGCGCGCCCCCCUAGCCCAAUCCGAAUUGGGUGGGGGCGGGCCCCCCUUUCCUUCCUUCUCUCCUACUCCUACUACUUGGAAGGGGGAAUCCUACUCCCGAUGGGAGUAGGACUCCCCUAGGGCGUGCCAUAGAGGGCCGGCCCUCCCCCCUCCUCCACUCCUUUAUAUACGAGGAGGGGGCACCCCAUAGACACACAAGUCGAUCAUUGUCUUAACCAUGUGCGGUACCCCCCUCCACCAUAAUCCACCUCGGUCAUAUCGUAGGGGUGCUUAGGCGAAGCCCUGCUCCGGUAGCAUCAUCGUCACCGUCAUCACGCCGUCGUGCUGACGAAACUCUCCCUCGACACUCAACUGGAUCUAGAGUUCAUGGAACGUCACUGAGCUAAACGUGUGCAAAUCGCGGAGGUGGCGUACCUUCGGUGCUAGGAUCGGUCGGAUUGUGAAGACGUUUGACUACAUCAACCGCGUUGUCAUAACUCUUCUGCUUAUGGUCUACGAGGGUACGUGGGCAACACUCUUCCACUCUCGUUUCUAUGCAUCACAUAGAUAGAUCUGGCAUGUGCGUAGGAAUUUUUUUGAAAUUACUGCGUUACCCAACACCUGCCACAAGCUAGUAGUACUUAGUUUCGAGCGUGUAAAGCAGCUCCCCCGGCAGUCCCGGAGCUUGUGUAGUGAAUACUUUCCAAACCCUGCGGGACAAAGAAAACAAUUACUUGAUAUCAAGAAAUGAACAAAGUUGCGGAUAUGGUGCGAUAAUGAUCGAUUGAACUUACUUCUCGAGCAUUUUAGUCAUGUCCGCAUAGUCCUCGGGAUUUUUUCGUCUCAAGUCUAAGACGGUUACUAGUCCCUGCUCAAGCUUAAUCUCUAGGAGAAUAAAGUGGAAGUUGCGCACACAUGCAUAACUCAUCAAUUACAUUACUAUAACCUCGAGUAAUACUGGAAACCAAAUAUGCACAAGACAAUAACACUCACUUGAAGUUGUAAGGAAAGAGUAUUGAUACAUCUCCGUCGUAUCUACUUUUCCAAACACUUUUGCCCUUGUUUUGGACUCUAACUUGUAUGAUUUGAAUGGAACUAACCCGGACUAACGAUGUUUUCAGCAGGAUUGCCAUGAUGUUGUUUUAUGUGCAGAAAACAAAAGUUCUCAGAAUGACCUGAAACUCCACGGAAUAUCUUACAAUAAAUAAUAAAAAAAUCUCGCCAAAGAUGAAGACUAGGGGGCCCAUACCCUUCUCACGAGGGUGGCCCCCCCCUAGGGCGCGCCCCCCUACCUCGUGGGCCCCCUGGAGACCUCCCGACUCCAACUCCAACUCUAUAUAACUGCUUUCGGGGAGAAAAAAAUAGGAGAGAAGAAAUCAUCACGUUUUACGAUACGCAGCCGCCGCCAAGCCCUAAAACCUCUCGGGAGGGCUGAUCUGGAGUCCGUUCGGGGCUCCGGAGAGGGGGAUUCGUCGCCGUCGUCAUCAUCAACCAUCCUCCAUCACCAAUUUCAUGAUGCUCACCGCCGUGCGUGAGUAAUUCCAUCGUAGGCUUGCUGGAGGGUGAUGGGUUGGAUGAGAUUCACCAUGUAAUCGAGUUAGUUUUGUUAGGGUUUGAUCCCUAUUAUCCACUAUGUUCUGAGAUUGAUGUUGCUAUGACUUUGCUAUGCUUAAUGCUUGUCACUAGGGCCCGAGUGCCAUGAUUUCAAAUCUGAACCUAUUAUGUUCUCUUCAAUAUAUGAGAGUUCUAGAUCCUAUCUUGCAAGUCUAUAGUCACCUAUUAUGUGUUAUGAUCCGUUAACCCCGAAGUGACAAUAAUCGGGAUACUUACCGAUGACGACCGUAGUUUGAGGAGUUCAUGUAUUCGCUAUGUGCUAAUGCUUUGUUCCGGUUCUCUAUUAAAAGGAGGCCUUAAUAUCCCUUAGUUUCCAUUAGGACCCCGCUGUCACGGGAGGGUAGGACAAAAUAUGUCAUGCAAGUUCUUUUCCAUAAGCACGUAUGACUAUAUUCGGAAUGCAUGCCUACAUUACAUCGACGAAUUGGAGCUAGUUCUGUGUCACCCUAUGUUAUGACUGUUACAUGAUGAAACACAUCUGGCAUAACUAUUCAUCAUUGAUCCAAUGCCUACGAGCUUUCCGUAUACUGGUUUACGCUUAUUUACUUUCCCGUUGCUAUUGUUACAAUCACUACAAAAUACCAAAAACAUUACUUUGCUUUCAUUACUCUUUUGUUACCAUUACCAUCACUAUCAUAUUACUUUGCUACUAAACACUUUGCUGCAGAUACUAAGUUUCCAGGUGUGGUUGAAUUGACAACUCAGCUGCUAAUACUUGAGAAUAUUCUUUGGCUCCCCUUGUGUCGAAUCAAUAAAUUCAGGUUGAAUACUCUACCCUCGAAAGCUGUUGUGAUCCCCUAUACUUGUGGGUUAUCAAGUAUUUUACCUUUGUUUUGAUUUUGAAGCAACGAUUUUAGCAAGUUGGCCUCGGCUUCUUUGGCAUCAUGUUUAACCGUCCAUUCAUCUAUGAUAUUUGUGUUAAUGAACCCAAUAUCAUAGAUUUCUGCCUUUUUGCAUUCGACGAUCUUCAAUCUGCAUAAUAUAGUAAGGAUAAUUAUAUAUACAUGCAAUGAAAGAGCUGAGCUAUAUAUAGAGACUUAAUUAUAGAAGUAGUACUUACAGUCAGUAGCAAGUGACCAUUAUUUUAUCGAGGGCCUUUUGAUUGAAAAACGGGAAGAACUCCUCAAAUGGAACAGACAACAGAUCAAUUCCAACGAGGUCGUGCUCCUCUUUAACUCUCAAAGUCAAAGUAUCCUGCCCAGACUCGCUGUAGGUUUUCAUGUACCAGUUAUGGAAUCUUCGCAUCAUUGUUGUUACAGGAGGAUGACCAGGUUUGACAAAAGGCUUCCCGUGCCGGUAGUUGAAAUCGUCCACCUCCAUUGUAUCAAAAUGUGCAUCAUCGGGCAGGUAAUCUCCAGGAUUAGUACCAGGCAGCACCCUUGGAUGAUUAGCGACGAUAUAGCUAGGCACCUUGAGCGGGGGGCAUGAUUGGUUAACUUGUCCGCUGAGCUGGGGAAAUGUUUUCCCACUUCUUCCUUCUACUAACCUUUGAUCACUACAAGUACUUCCCGACCGCUCCACUUCGAUAUAUGACCUUUCAAUAAUGCGCUCAUACUUGGUUUUUAGCGGAGACCGUGUGGUCGCUUCAGGGCAUCCAAAGUGCGCUGAACUUUCACCUUAUCUAUCUUCUCCUCCGGAGGUGGAUGUUUCUUAGCUCUUUGUGUUUCAAAGAAGUCCUUCACUUGGGCAGCACAGAUCUUUGCAUUUUCCUCCUUGGUCAUCUCGUAUGGUAACCUCUCUAGAGGCUUGAGAGAUGGAUCGAAUCUGUAUUGCCUCCAGCCUCUGGCUGUAAUGCUAGACGCCGGAGCAGCCGGAGCGGCUGCGGCUGUCUUCUUGCAUUGCUUACGAGGCGGAGAAGAAGGAGGUGGAGUGCUACGACGCGCUGGAGCAGCCGGAGCGGCGGUGGCUGGCUUCCGCUUUUGCUGACGAGGUGGGCUGCUCGGACGCGCCGGCGCGGAAGGAGAAGGAGGCGGAGUGCCGCCACGCAUCGGAGAAGGAGGCGGAGGAGGAGGCGGAGUGCCCUGACUCGCUAGAGGAGGAGGAGGAGGAGGAGGCGGAGGCGGAGGCGUCCAGUUCGGAAGGUUGAUGAGCUCCUUCCGCCAUAGACAUGGAGUCUUCAGAGCAACACCCAGCUGAGUCUCCCCUUCACCGGUAGGGUGGUCAAGCUCGAGGUCCUCAAAUCCCUUUGUUAUUUCAUCCACCAUCACAGCAGCAUAUCCUUCUGGAAUCGGACAGCGAUGAAAAGUUGCGCCGGGUUCAUGAGGUGCAAUAGAGCCGACAGCCUCCUUGACUUUGAAGUUCUGCCAUUGCGUCAUAAGGUGGCAAGGUUGAGCCUUCGUGAUAGCAUCCACGGGGUAGCUAGCAGGAGUCGUGAAGUUAGGCUGCUGAAGGAGCUCGGUGGAAGUCACGCUGCUUCUCUGCUGAGAUGGUGGGGUAGCUUCUGGGGUAGCUCCGACAUGAUGCUGGCUGUCCUUUUCCUCUUGCGCUUGUACCCUUGCAUGCAGCUUCUGUAGUUCGGUCUGCUCCACUUUCCUCUUCCUCUCCCAGGUUUUGUAACCGCGUGCCUCGGGAAACCCAGCCUUCCACAAAACGGAUCCUGGCGUGCCUCGUGUUCGUCCAGGGUGCUCGAGAUUCCCGAGGGCCCGUGUGAGCUCGUCGUUCUCUCUAUUGGGAACGAACGUCCCUUGCUGCGCUGCGGCGAUAUACUCAUGAAGCUUCAUGACGGGUAUAUUCAGUUGCUGGUUCAUCCAACGGCACUUCCCGGUUUCAGGGUCCAAGGUUCCCCCAACCCCGAAGAACCAAGUCCUUGAACGGUCUGGCCAGUGCAAUGUCUCUGGUUCGACCCCUUUAUCAAGCAGGUCAUUCUCAGCCUUGUCCCACAAUGGUUGGACUUUGAGGUAGCCACCUGACCCCGUGUGAUGGUGAAGCUCCUUCUUUGCAGCAUUUUUCUUAUUUGUCGCUGACAUCUUCUUGCUCUUGUCCGAUGUCUUGUGGGCCACAAAUGCUUCCCAGUGAUCUCUUAUCUUCUCAAAUCGGCCGGUGAAUUCUGGAGUCUUUUCUUUGUCGACAAAUGUUGUUUUCAACUCAUUCUUCCACCUCCUGAAUAGAUCUGCCAUCUUCUUAAGAGCAUGAGCCUUGACCAAUGGCUCUAUAGCUAGCUUCUCCGGAUCCUCCUCUGGCGGUAGGGUGAAAUUUGCCUUCAGCGCGGUCCAAAGAUCAUCUUUCUGCCUAUCGUUGACAUAAGACACCUCAGGGUCUUCGUUCUUAGGCUUAUACCAUUGGUGGAUGCUGAUCGGGAUCAUGUCCCUAACAAGAACCCCGCACUGAGCAGAAAAUGCUUCCUUGGUCCAGAUGGGUUCAAUCGGUUGGCCAUCGCGCGCAAUUGUUGUGAUCGUGAAACUUUCAUCUUGGUGCCACUUCUUCUUCGGGCCUCGUCUCAUUACUAAAGUUUUGCUUGAUCUGGAGGGCUAUAAAAAAAGAAAGAAGAGAGUUAAUAUGUGUACAUACCAAAAAAAUUAAUGCAUCAAUUAGCUAUAGUCAGCACAGGCUUAAUUAAUAUAUAUACCUGGCCGGACUCCGUUCGGUCAUCGGAGUCGUCAUCACGGUCUCCUUCUUCCACCGGCAUUCGGUCACCGGAGCCAUCAUAAUCAUGUCCUUCCUCCUCCAUUCUUUAAUAACCAUAGUCUGCUUCACCCUCUCCUUCCAGACCAUCGGUGUCGUUGAGAUAGUAUGAGACAUCACCUCCGGCUGCGAUUAUGUCCCCCAACACCUCUUCUGUUUCCAAGUCUCGGUGCUCCAUAGUUUCUGCAAAUAUUACAACAUGGCAAGUAUUAUACAAAACAUGACAGAUGGAUAUAUUAGUGGCAAACGUAUACCUAGCUAGCUAAUCACAACAAGGAAUCAUAUUCGUGGCCUCGAUGCUUCUUUAGGGUUUGGGGUGGCCUCAGCAACGCUUCUAGGGUUCGGGGUGGCCUCGACGACAACGCUCUUUUAACUUGGUAAAUUUGGGUGGCCUUGGAAAAUGGUCCAUAUUUUUCCUGAUCUCAUCUACCCUUCUAUAUGUCACAUUUGUCUAGUGUCAAAGGAUUCAACAAAACCAUGUCUUCAUCAUUAGGCGAAAGCAACAGGCGCGUGAUGGUCCGAAGUUCUCCAAAGUUGUUCUGGAACGAACUCCCGGAUAGGAUAAUUCAUCUUUUUGUACGAAUUUCAGCAAAGGCCUUCCAAACUCCAUUCCAGAACAACUUUGCAGAGCUUCAUACCAUCAUGCCCCGGUUACUUCCGGCUAAUGAUGAAGCAAUGGAUUUCUUCAAUACUUUGACACAAGGCAACCUGUCGACCCCUUGGCGAUCCUCGACCCUCGACCCCUCGACGACCCUCGACCGCUCGGCGAUCCACGACCCUCUACCCUAGUUCCCGACCCUCGACCCCCUCAUGUCACGUUUGUAUAGUGUCAAAGGAUUCAACAAAACCAUGUCUUCAUCAUUAGGAGAAAGUAACAGAUGCAUGAUGGUACGAAGCUCUCCAAAGUUAUUUUGGAACGGAUUCCGAGAUAGGAUAAUUCGCUUUUUGGUACAAAGUUCAGCAAAAGCCUUCUGAAUAUCGCUAUUUGGAAGGCUUUUGCUGAAAUUCGUACCAAAAGACGAAUUAUCCUAUCCGGGACUCCGUUCCAGAAUAAAUUUGGAGAACUUUGUACCAUCAUGCCCCCGUUACUUCCGGCUAAUGAUGAAGCCAUGGAUUUCUUCAACACUUUGACACUAGGCAACCUCUCGACCCCUCGACGAUCCUCGACCCCUCGAUGACCCUCGACCCUCGAACCCUCGGCCCCUCGACCCUCGAACCCUCAGUGACCCUCUACCCUAGUUCCCGACCCUCGCCCCUCGAACCCUCGGCGACCCCCCCCCCUCAUGUCGAAGUUAUCAGGGAGGGGGUAUAUCGACCCCUCCCCCUCAUGUCGAAGUUAUCGGGGAGGGGUGAUACGUCUCCAACGUAUCUAUAAUUUUUGAUUGCUCCAUGCUACUUUAUCUACUGUUUUGGACUAUAUUGGGCUUUAUUUUCCACUUUUAUAUUAUUUUUGGGACUAACCUAUUAACCGGAGGCCCAGCCCAGAAUUGCUGUUUUUUGCCUAUUUCAGUAUUUCGAGGAAACAGAAUAUCAAACGGAGUCCAAAUAGAAUGAAACCUUCGGGAACGUGAUCUUCUCACCGAACGUGAUCCAGGAUACUUGGACCCUACUCCAAGAAGUUUCCGGGGAGGUCACGAGGGUGGAGGGCGCCCCCCCCCCCCUAGGCGCACCCCCCUGCCUCGUGGGGCCCCCGUGGCUCCUCCGACGUCCUCCCUGCACCCAUAUAUACCUACGUGACCUAAAACUUCCAGGAUAGAACGUAGAUCAGGAGUUCCGCCGCCAGAAGCCUCCGUAGCCACCAAAACUCAAUCUAGACCCGUUUCGGCACCCUGUCGGAGGGGGCGAUCCAUAUCCGGUGGCCAUCUUCAUCAUCCCGGCACUAUCCAUGACGAGGAGGGAGUAGUUCACCCUCGGGGCUGAGGGUAUGUACCAGUAGCUAUGUGUUUGAUCUCUCUCUCUCGUGUUCCAUCUAUGGCACGAUCUUGAUGUAUCCCGAGCUUUGCUAUUGUAGUUGGAUCUUAUGUUUCUUCUCCCCCUCUACUCUCUUGUGAUGAAUUGAGUUUCCCCUUUGAAGUUAUCUUAUCGGAUUGAGUCUUUUAUGAACACUUGAUGUAUGUCUUACCGUGCUUAUCUGUGGUGACAAUGGGAUAUCACGUGCCACUUGAUGUAUGUUUUGGUGACCAACUUGCGGGUUCCGCCCAUGAACCUAUGCAUAGGGGUUGGCACACGUUCUUGAUUCUCCGGUAGAAACUUUGGGGCACUAUUUGAAGUACUUUUAUGUUGGUUGGAUAAAUCUGAGAUUGUGUGAUGCAUAUCGUAUAAUCAUGCCCACGGAUACUUGAGGUGACAAUGGAGUAUCUAGGUGACAUUAGGGUUUUGGUUGAUUUGUAUCUUAAGGUGUUAUUCUAGUAAAAACUCCAGGGUUGUUUGUGACACUUAUAGGAAUAGCCCAACGGAUUGAUUUGAAAGAAUAACUUUGAGGUGGUUUCGUACCCUACCAUAAUCUCUACGUUUGUUCUCCGCUAUUAGUGGCUUCGGAGUGACUCUUUGUUGCAUGGUGAGGGCUUGUUAUAUGAUAUAUCUAUGUUAUUAUUGUUGAGAGAACUUGCACUAGUGAAAGUAUGAACCCUAGGCCUUAUUUCCUAUCAUUGCAAUACCGUUUACGCUCACUUUUAUCAUUAGUUACCUUGUUGUUUUAUAUUUACAGAUUACUAAUACCUUUAUCUACCAUCCAUAUACCACUUGUAUCACCAUCUCUUCGCCGAACUAGUGCACCUAUACAAUUUACCAUUGUAUUGGGUGUGUUGGGGACACAAGAUACUCUUUGUUAUUUGGUUGCAGGGUUGCUUGAGAGAGACCAUCUUCAUCCUACUCCUCCUACGGAUUGAUAAACCUUAGGUCAUCCACUUGAGGGAAAUUUGCUACUGUCCUACAAACCUCUGCACUUGGAGGCCCAACAACAUCUACAAGAAGAAGGUUGUGUAGUAGACAUCAAGGGGGUAUAUCAGCAACGACAUACCCGAUAAAAAAUAAGAAGAGGAAGAAGAAGAAAAAAAAAGAGGAGAAGAAGAAAGGAAUAGAGGAGAAGAUCGAAGAAAAAAAGAAAAAAGAGGAGAAGAAGAAAGGAAUAGAGGAGAAGAAGAAAAAAUAGAAUAUUGGUUCGAGGUGCUUCAUCAUCACCAUGCUAGUGAUCUAUUCAUGGAUUAAAUUAAUCAAAAAAUUGUCUAUUUACUCAACAUUACGUUCAUUGUUAUGGGUAAUGUUAAGACUAUCUGGUCUUUGACAGAACAAAAUUUUCUAUUCCGAUACAUAUGUUAUGUCGGCAAUUGCAACAAAUGGUUAGGGAGCUUCUACAUAGCAUGGAAGGUCAACUUAUGCUCCGUUGGAUUACAUUCUCGCUUUUUUGAGGGCGGGGGUAUAGACGUUAUCGUAUCUAAGUUUGUAUACUUGUUUUAAUUGUUUUUGCUUGCAGUGUGAAGUGUGUGUUCUGAUUGUAUGCAUGAUUGUAAGAAAAUACCAGGAAUUGAAUUUUUGUGUGGUUUUACGAGAUUGACGGCUAAUAAAUAAUUUUCAUUAAAGCACCUAAUCCCUUUUUCAUUAAUUUCUUAAUAAAAAUAGAAAAAAAUAGAGCAUCUACAGUCGGGCGCUCCAAACCCAUCUCAAACGCCCGGGCGGGCGGCCUGGUCAGCGACCGGCCACAAAAAAGUUGCCCAUACGGGCGCAUCAAACGAGCCUCAAACGUCCGAGCUGACCGACACCCCUCAUAUCCAAAUCAAAUAUAGGACGGAUAUGGAGCGCCCGAGCGCGUCUACGACGUCGGAAUGACGAUGGGGCCCCACACAGAAUCUCCUGGAAACCCGGCAGUCCGACGGACGUCUCCUCCCAUGAAGGGUGUGAACGUCGCGUGGCGCUGUUGGGGAACGUAGUAAUUUCAAAACAAUUCCUAUGCACACACAAGAUCAUGGUGAUGCAUAGCAACGAGAGGGGAGAGUGUUGUCCACAUACCCUCGUAGACCGAAAGUGGAAGCGUUAGCACAACGCGGUUGAUGUAGUCGUACGUCUUCACGAUCCGACCAAUCCAAGUACCGAACGUACGGCACCUCCGAGUUCGGCACACGUUCAGCUCGAUGACGUCCCUCGAACUCCGAUCCAGCCGAGCUUUGAGGGAGAGUUCUGUCAGCACGACGGUGUGGUGAUGGUGAUGAUGAUGCUACCGACGCAGGGCUUCGCCUAAGCACCGCUACGAUAUUAUCGAGGUGGAAUAUGGUGGAGGGGGCACCGCACACGGCUAAGAGAUCAAUUGUUGUGUCUAUGGGGUGCCCCACUCCUCCGUAUAUAAAGGGGGGAGGAGGAGAGGGCCGGCCAAGGGGAGGAGGCGCGCCCAAGGGGGGCAAUCCUACUCCAAGUAGGAUUCCCCCCUCUUUCCUAGUCCAAGUAGGAGAGGGGAAGGAAGGGGAGGAGAAGAAGAAGAAGGAAAGGGGGGCGCCCCCCUAGUCCAAUUCGGUUUGGGCUAGGGGGCCGUGUGCCCCUAGCUGGCCGCCUCUCCUCUUCCACCACUUGGGCCCAUGAGGCCCAAUAACCCCCCGGGAGGUUCCGGUAACCUCCUAGUUUCUCCGGUAUUUAUCCGAUAACCCCCGAAACUCAUCCGGUGUCCGAAUAUAACAUUCCAAUAUAUCAAUCUUAAUGUCUCUACCAUUUCGAGACUCCUUGUCAUGUCCAUGAUCACAUCCGGGACACCGAACUACCUUCGGUACAUCAAAACACCAAACUCAUAAUACCGAUCGUCAUCUAACUUUAAGCUUGUGGACCCUACGGGUUCGAGAACUAUGUAGACAUGACCGAGACACGUCUCUGGUCAAUAACCAAUAGCAGAACCUGGAUGCUCAUAUUGGCUCCUACAUAUUCUACAAAGAUCUUUAUCGGUCAAACCGCAUAACAACUUACGUUGUUCCCUUUGUCAUCUGUAUGUUACUUGCCCAAGAUUCGAACGUCGGUAUCUCAAUACCUAGUUCAAUUUCUUUACCGGCAAGUCUCUUUACUCGUUUCGUAAUACAUCAUCUCGCAACUAACUCAUUAUUCACAAUGCUUGCAAGGCUUAUAGUGAUGUGCAUUACCGAGAGGGCCCAGAGAUACCUCUCUGACAAUCGGAGUGACAAAUCCUAAUCUCGAAAUACGCCAACCCAACAAGUACCUUCAGAGACAUCUGUAGAGCACCUUUAUAAUCACCCAGUAAUGUUGUGACGUUUGGUAGCACACAAAGUGUUCCUCCGGUAAACGGGAGUUACAUAAUCCCAUAGUCAUAGGAACAUGUAUAAGUCAUGAAGAAAGCAAUAGCAACAUACUAAACGAUCAAGUGCUAAGCUAACGGAAUGGGUCAAGUCAAUCACAUUAUUCUCCUAAUAAUGUGAUCCCGUUAAUCAAAUGACAACUCAUGUCCAUGGCUAGGAAACUUAACCAUCUUUGAUUAACAAGCUAGUCAAGUAGAGGCAUACUAGUGACACUAUGUUUGUCUAUGUAUUCACACAUGUAUUAUGUUUCCGGUUAAUACAAUUCUAGCAUGAAUAAUAAACAUUUAUCAUGAUAUGAGGAAAUAAAUAAUAACUUUACUAUUGCCUCUAGGGCAUAUUUCCUUCAGUCUCCCACUUGCACUAGAGUCAAUAAUCUAGAUUACACAGUAAUGAUUCUAACACCCAUAGAGCCUUGGUGCUGAUCAUGUUUUGCUCGUGGAAGAGGCUUAGUCAAUGGGUGUGCAACAUUCAGAUCCGUAUGUAUUUUGCAAAGCUUUAUAUCUCCCAUCUGGACUUGGUCCCAGAUGGAAUUGAAGCGUCUCUUGAUGUGCUUGGUCCUCUUGUGAAAUCUGGAUUCCUUUGCCAAGGCAAUUGCACCAGUAUUGUCACAAAAGAUUUUCAUUGGAACCAAUGCACUAGGUAUGACACCUAGAUCGGAUAUGAACUCCUUCAUCCAGACUCCUUCAUUUGCUGCUUCUGAAGCAGCUAUGUACUCUGCUUCACACAUAGAUCCCGCCAAGACGCUUUGUUUAGAACUGCACCAACUAACAGCUCCACCAUUCAAUGUAAACACGUAUCCGGUUUGCGAUUUAGAAUUGUCCGGAUCAGUGUCAAAGCUUGCAUCGACGUAACCAUUUACGACUAGCUCUUUGUCACCUCCAUAAACGAGAAACAUAUCCUUAGUCCUUUUCAGGUAUUUCAGGAUGUUCUUGACCGCUGUCCAGUGAUACACUCCUGGAUUACUUUGGUACCUCCCUUCUAAACUUAUAGCAAGGCACACAUCAGGUCUGGUACACAUCAUUGCAUACAUGAUAGAGCCUAUGGCUGAAGCAUAGGGAACAUCUUUCAUCUUCUCUCUAUCUUCUGCAGUCGUUGGGCAUUGAGUCUUACUCAACUUCACACCUUGUAACACAGGCAAGAACCCUUUCUUUGCUUGAUCCAUUUUGAACUUCUUCAAAACUUUGUCAAGGUAUGUACUUUGUGAAAGUCCAAUUAAGCGUCUUGAUCUAUCUCUAUAGAUCUUGAUGCCCAAUAUAUAAGCAGCUUCACCAAGGUCCUUCAUUGAAAAACUCUUGUUCAAAUAUCCCUUUAUGCUAUCCAGAAAUUCUAUAUCAUUUCCAAUCAACAAUAUGUCAUCUACAUAUAAUAUCAGAAAUGCUACAGAGCUCCCACUCACUUUCUUAUAAAUACAGGCUUCUCCAAAAGUCUGUAUAAAUCCAUAUGCUUUGAUCACACUAUCAAAAUGUUUAUUCCAACUCCGAGAGGCUUGCACCAGUCCAUAGAUGGAUCGCUGGAGCUUGCACAUUUUGUUAGCUCCCUUUGGAUCGACAAAACCUUCCGGUUGCAUCAUAUACAACUCUUCUUCCAGAAAUCCAUUCAGGAAUGCAGUUUUGACAUCCAUGUGCCAAAUUUCAUAAUCAUAAAAUGCGGCAAUUGCUAACAUGAUUCGGACAGACUUAAGCAUUGCUACGGGUGAGAAAGUCUCAUCGUAGUCAAUCCCUUGAACUUGUCGAAAACCUUUUGCAACAAGUCGAGCUUUAUAGACAGUAACAUUACCGUCAGCGUCAGUCUUCUUCUUGAGGAUCCAUUUAUUCUCAAUGGCUUGCCGAUCAUCGGGCAAGUCAACCAAAGUCCACACUUUGUUCUCAUACAUGGAUCCCAUCUCAGAUUUCAUGGCCUCAAGCCAUUUUGCGGAAUCUGGGCUCACCAUUGUUUCUUCAUAGUUCGUAGGUUCGUCAUGGUCUAGUAACAUAACUUCCAGAACGGGAUUACCGUACCACUCUGGCGCGGAUCUUACUCUGGUUGACCUACGAAGUUCAGUAGCAACUUGAUCUGAAGUUUCAUGAUCAAUGUCAUUAGCUUCCUCACUGAUUGGUGUAGGUGUCACGGGAACCGGUUUCUGCGAUGAACUACUUUCCAAUAAGGGAGCAGGUAUAGUUACCUCAUCAAGUUCUACUUUCCUCCCACUCACUUCUUUCGAGAGAAACUCCUUCUCUAGAAAGGAUCCAAAUUUAGCAACAAAAGUCUUGCCUUCGGAUCUGUGAUAGAAGGUGUACCCAACAGUUUCCUUUGGGUAUCCUAUGAAGACGCAUUUCUCCGAUUUGAGUUCGAGCUUAUCAGGUUGAAGCUUUUUCACAUAAGCAUCGCAACCCCAAACUUUAAGAAACGACAGCUUAGGUAUCUUGCUAAACCACAGUUCAUACGGUGUCGUCUCAACGGAUUUAGAUGGUGCCCUUUUUAAUAUGAAUGCAGCUGUCUCUAAUGCAUAACCCCAAAACGAUGGUGGUAAAUCGGUAAGAGACAUCAUAGAUUGCACUAUAUCAAAUAAAGUAUGGUUAUGACGUUCGGACACACCAUUAUGCUGUGGUGUUUCAGGUGGCAUGAGUUUAUGAAACUAUUCCACAUUGUUUUAAUUGAAGACCAAACUCGUAACUCAAAUAUUCGCCUCUGUGAUCAGAUCGUAGAAACUUUAUUUUCUUGUUACGAUGAUUUUCCACUUCACUCUGAAAUUCUUUAAACUUUUCAAAUGUUUCAGACUUAUGUUUCUUCAAGUAGAUAUACCCAUAUCUGCUCAAAUUAUCUGUGAAGGUUAGAAAAUAACGAUACCCGCCGCGAACCUCAACACUCAUCGGACCUCAUACAUCAGUAUGUAUUAUAUCCAAUAAGUCAGUUGCUCGCUCCAUUGUUCUGGAGAACGGAGUCUUAAUCAUCUUUGCCCAUGAGUCAUGGUUCGCAAGCAUCAACUGAUUCAUAAUCAAGUGAUUCCAAAAGCCCAUCAGUAUGGAUUUUCUUCAUGCGCUUUACACCAAUAUGACCUAAAUGGCAGUGCCACAAAUAAGUUGCACUAUCAUUAUUAACGUUGCAUCUUUUGUCUUCAAUAUUAUGAAUAUGUGUAUCACUAUGAUCUAGAUUCAACAAACCAUUUUCAUUGGGUGUAUAACCAUAGAAGGUUUUAUUCAUGUAAACAGAAUAACAAUUAUUCUCUAACUUAAAUGAAUAACUGUAUUGCAAUAAACAUGAUCAAAUCAUAUUCAUGCUCAACGCAAACACCAAAUAACACUUAUUUAGGUUCAACACUAAUCCCGAAAGUAUAGGAAGUGUGCGAUGAUGAUCAUAUCGUUCUUGGAACUACUUCCAACACACAUCGUCACUUCACCCUUAACUAGUCUCUGUUCAUUCUGCAACUCCCGUUUCAAGUUACUACUCUUAGCAACUGAACUAGUAUCAAAUACCGAGGGGUUGCUAUAAACACUAGUAAAGUACACAUCAAUAACAUGUAUAUCCAAUAUACCUUUGUUCACUUUGCCAUCCUUCUUAUCCACCAAAUACUUGGUGCAGUUCCGCUUCCAGUGACUAGUCCCUUUGCAGUAAAAGCACUUAGUCUCGGGCUUAGGUCCAGACUUGGGCUUCUUCACUUGAGCAGCAACUUGCUUGACGUUCUUCUUGAAGUUCCCCUUCUUCCCUUUGCCCUUUUCUUGAAACUAGUGGUCUUGUUAACCAUCAACACUUGAUGAUUUUCUUGAUUUCUACCUUCGUCGAUUUUAGCAUCACGAAGAGCUUGGAAAUCGUUUCCGUUAUCCCUUGCAUAUUAUAGUUCAUCAUGAAGUUCUAGCAACUUGGUGAUAGUGACUAGAGAACUCUGUCAAUCACUAUCUUAUCUGAAAGAUUAACUCCCACUUGAUUCAAGUGAUUGUAGUACUGAGACAAUCUGAGCACAUGCUUACUGAUUGAGCUAUUCUCCUCCAUCUUGUAGGCAAAGUAAUGUCAGAGGUAUCAUACCUCUUGACACGGGCAUGAGUAUGAAAUACCAAUUUCAACUCUUGGAACAUCUUAUCUGCUCCGUGGCGUUCAAAACAUUUUGAAGUCCCGGUUCUAAGCCGUAAAGCAUGGUGCACUAAACUAUCAAGUAGUUAUCAUACCGAGCUUUUGUCAAAACGUUCAAAACAUCUGCAUCUGCUCCUGCAAUAGUUCUGUCACCUAGCGGUGCAUUAAGUACAUAAUACUUCUGUGCAGCAAUGAGGAUAAUCCUCAUAUCACGGAGCUAGUCCGCAUCUUUGCUACUAACAUCUUUCAACUUUGCUUUCUCAAGGAACACAUUAAAAUUCAAUGAAACAACAGCACGGGCCAUCUAUCUACAAUCAACAUAGACAAGCAAAAUAAUAUCAGGUACUAAGUUCAUGAUAAAUUUAAGUUCAAUUAAUCAUAUUACUUAAGAACUCCCACUUAUAUAGACAUCCCUCUAAUCAUCUAAGUGAUCGCGUGAUCCAAAUCAACUAAACCAUGUCCGAUCAUCACGUGAGAUGGAGUAGUUUCAUUGGUGAACAUCACUAUGUUGAUCAUAUCUACUAUAUGAUUCACGCUCGACCUUUUGGUCUCAGUGUUCCGAGGCCAUAUCUGCAUAUGCUAGGCUCGUCAAGUUUAACCUGAGUAUUCUGCGUGUGCAACUGUUUUCCACCCGUUUUAUUUGAACGUAAAGCCUAUCACACCCGAUCAUCAUGUGGUAUCUCAGCACAAAGAACUUUUGCAACGGUGCAUACUCAGGGAGAACACUUUUAUCUUGAAAUUUAGUGAGAUAUCAUCUUAUAAUGCUACCGUCAAUCAAAGCAAGAUAAGAUGCAUAAAAGAUAAACAUCACAUGCAAUCAAUAUAAGUGAUAUGAUAUGGCCAUCAUCAUCGUGUGCUUGUGAUCUCCAUCUCUGAAGCACCGUCAUGAUCACCGUCGUCACCGGCGCGACACCAUGAUCUCCAUCGUAGCAUCGUUGUCGUCUCGCCAAUUUAUGCUUCUACGACUAUCGCUACCGCUUAGUGAUAAAGUAAAGCAUUACAGGGCGAUUGUAUUGCAUACAAUAAAGCGACAACCAUAUGGCUCCUGCCAGUUGCCGAUAACUCGGUUACAAAACAUGAUCAUCUCAUACAAUAAAAUAUAGCAUCAUGCCUUGACCAUAUCACAUCACAACAUGCCCUGCAAAAAUAAGUUAGACGUCUUCUACUUUGUUGUUGCAACUUUUACGUGGCUGCUACGGGCUGAGCAAGAACCGUUCUUACCUACGCAUCAAAACCACAACGAUAGUUCAUCAAGUUAGUGAUGUUUUAACCUUCUCAAGGGCCGGGUGUAGCCACACUCGGUUCAACUAAAGUUGGAGAAACUGACACCCGCCAGCCACCUGUGUGCAAACCACGUCGGUAGAACCAGUCUCGCAUAAGCGUACGCGUAAUGUCGGUCCGGGCCGCUUCAUCCAACAAUACCGCCGAACCAAAGUGCAACAUGCUGGUAAGCAGUAUGACUUGUAUCGCCCACAACUCACUUGUGUUCUACUCGUGCAUAAACAUCUACGCAUAAAACCAGGCUCUGAUGCCACUGUUGGGGAACGUAGUAGUUUCAAAAAAAUUCCUACGCACACGCAAGAUCAUGGUGAUGCAUAGCAACGAGAGGGGAGAGUGUUGUCCACGUACCCUCGUAGACCGAAAGCGGAAGCGUUAGCACAACGCGGUUGAUGUAGUUGUGCGUCUUCAUGAUCCGACCGAUCCAAGUACCGAACGUACGCACCUUCGAGUUCAGCACACGUUCAGCUCGAUGACGUCCUUCAAACUCCGAUCCAGCCGAGCUUUGAGGGAGAGUUCCGUCAGCACGACAGCGUGGUGACGGUGAUGAUGAUGCUACCGACGCAGGGCUUCGCCUAAGCACCGCUACGAUAUUAUCAAGGUGGAAUAUGAUGGAGGGGCACCGCACACGGCUAAGAGAUUAAGAGAUUAAUUGUUGUGUCUAUGGGGUGCCCCCCUCCUCCGUAUAUAAAGGGGGGAGGAGGAGAGGGUCGGCCAAGGGGAGGAGGCACGCCCAAGGGGGGCAAUCCUACUCCAAGUAGGAUUCCCCCCUCUUUCCUAGUCCAAGUAGGAGAGGGGAAGGAACGGGAGGAGAAGAAGAAGGAAAGGGGGCCGGAGCAAGAACUGGCGGCAACCAAUGCGCUAUUAGACGAGUUGGAGGCAGAGAUGGAGGUGGAGGCUGACGUGGAGCAACCGGACGAGCCGGAGCUGCGGCAGCUGCCUUUGUACUUGAAGCCGGGCACAGAGAUAGUGGACAUCUCCAACUAGGAUUAGGAUAGUAUAGAUUGCUUGAUCUACAUAGUACAUGGAUUUCCCCGCUUGCAUGCUUUUCUAUGGAUAGAUUUGUAGUAUGAGGUAUCCGGAUGCAGAGAAGCAAAUUCAAGAUAUUGAUCAAAUUUGUUGCCCGCGGCUGUAGAUGCUCUUGCAGAAGGUAGGGACGGGGGACGAGAAGCAGGGAGUUUGAGCAUUGUGGCAACCCACUACAUAUGCUAGUAGUUGAUACAUAUAUUAUUGGACGAAAACCCGACAUCGCUUACAUCAAAGUUUUACUCUCAUUGAAUGAAAUUAUAAGACAUAUGUUAGUUUCAUGUACAAAACUUUUCACCAAUAUUGUUCUUGUUUUCCGGUCUAUCACUGGCUUUGAUAUCACAUAUUUUGUUAAGCACGGGCGUGAACAAAAACGGCUGUUAUUUCAUAAAGUUUUCCUGCCAUCCUUCUAUGCCCUCGCAGCCUUGACGGCUGCCUUCUAUGCAGCGGCGGCGGUGUUAGGCACAGCCAUCACAAAUGAUGUAGGCAUAAAUGAUGGAGCCAUAACUUACCCCUCGAAGACAUCUGAAUUCAGAGGCAUGCAUGCAGAACAGAUACAUGCACACAUCCAAAAAGCUCUUUGUUUACUUCUGCUCACCCGAAGCACAUAUGUGGGCAACCAAAUAGAGGCCUUAAAAUGGCCACCAAUUUAAUGCGGGCAACCAAAGAACAUGUAGAUGUUUGAUUUUUUGGCGGUCUUUUUGGCAGUUUUUUGCCAACCAGGCCUCAAAAAAAAAUUUGAACAUACCAGGCCUCAAUUAAGGCAUAGAUACAGUGCGGACAAAAGUAACCAAACACGCCCGUAGAGCUUCUUCGUUUUAGUUGCGCCGCAGAUCAAAAGCUAUAGUAAACCUGCAACUCCGCCGCGCUGCAUUCUGCGAGAAGGUCAGACGCGGCAUGCAAGAAUGGCUGGCGCUCUCAAGUCCGAGCAACAUUGAACGGCUCGAAUGCGUCCAGGCUUCCGAAAGGAGAGGCGGCGAUCGACCAUCUAUCGAAGGGACCGGGGAAGCAAGCUGCAGUGCAACAGCAACACCCUCCUCCUCCCGGUUCCGGUCACGAGGAGUGCAGCGCGUGCAGGGUGUCUGCGGGCGCGGGCCGGCCUAUUCUGGGUGGCACCCAGGUACGACGAUCCCGACACAAACUUGUGCGAGGUAGACUGAUAAUCAUGCCAUAUUCGGAGAACAAGGAUCGCAAUCGAGAGCAUACUACACACAUUUUACUUCGUUCCUGCGGAAACUAUGAAACAUUCAUGCGUACUCAGCUCUUCUAUAAGAAAUGGAAAUUAUAUGUAUGUAUAUGUUCUGAGACUGCACCGGACCCCAAGCUGGCCUUAUUCUCUGGGGAACACUAGCCGUUCACGUGCCACAUAUGCUGUCCUACUUCUCGAUAUCUGUACAAGUCCAGGUGGAAUGUUGAUGAGCAGUAGCGCCGCAUCCGCGUGUACCAAGUAGUGCGACCACGUGGCCAGCGUACGUCCACGGCAGAGCAUCAAGCCACACACUGUUCACGUGCGCUAGCUCACACACACAUUACCUCCAAGAAAUUCCUCCCAGAGCUCAUCGAAGCUCCAUGACUCCAUCACAUCUGCUACCACGAGCUCAAGGACAAAAUGCUCCAAAAAAGAAAACCAAUCCGCUGGUGUCCUCAAGGCGACACGCUGCGCAAAAGGAUCUUUGCAGCAACUUGCCAUGCAUCGCACACGUCAGAUUACUGCCAUGGCUUCUCUCACCGCUACUACAACCACCAUAUACUUGGGAUUGGGAUUCAAAACUCCUACUACUCGGCUGGCUGGGCUGAGCCGGUGGGCGGGCCCGGCAUAUUCCGCUUUGAACUCCGGCCCCAAGCGCGUGAGGACACGGGCCGCACUGGCCCACCCCACCGGAUGCAUACGCAUAUGCAUACAUAUUACUAAACGAUAUCUCUCCGAAAGAAGCAACCAAACAAGCUGGCGCUGCUCUGUUCCUGCUCCCCCGCAUGUGUCUAAGCUAAGCUAAGCUGAGCUGAGCCGCUUGGUUAUUCGGAACGAUGUGUUUUUGGCGCAUGAACCAUCGCUUUCGCGGCUUGUCCAUGUCAGCCACCCAACCCUAGUCCGGCUAGCCAGCCAGCGGCCAGUGACUAGUCCGUCCGUCAGAUCACCAUGCCAUUGCCAUGAUACUGUACCACCCGGCUGGGUGGGUGGGUUCCACCUGGGCUAGUUUAGUUCCGGGAGAAAAAUCCAAGAGUGUGUACCCGCUUUUCUUUUCUUGCAUGCGGCGAUCUGCGAAAAGGAACGGCUGAUGUUGCAAUGCUGUGGCCGUUCGCUAUCUUGAAGGCCUUGUCUUGGAACCGUUGCGCCCCCUGCCCGCUAAUGUGUCGUCGUCGUAGAUUUGAUGGUAAGAUUUAGAAAUGUUGUCGUGAGGCUUAUCCUGUGAGGAUGGCUUUGAGAUUGUUUUCUUUCUUCUUGUAUGUCGAUUUGUUUGGUAUUAUCAACGGUAAAUAAUACUCUCUUUGUCCGUAAAUACUUGUCGGAAAAAGGGAUAUUUCCAGAGGGAGGGAGUAUAUAGUUGUGAGUAUUUUGUUGGCAAUUUUAGUUCACUCGAGAUAGGUAAACAUGUGUAAGACAAUAGGCUUUGGAGGGAACCAGCACAACCCUCUAGGGGUGGCCUAUCACAUAUAUAUAUAUAAUGAGGUGGUAUACAACGUUACAAUAUACACAUGUAAAUACAGUCUAACACCCUCCCUCAAUCUUAGCCACUUUCUAAUGAAUCUAGAAGGGUAAGAUUGCGCCUGCAAGUCUCAAACUGUGGCAAAGGCAAUGGCUUGGUGAAGAUGUCAGCAAGUUGAUCCUUGGAAGAAAUAAACUUGAUCUGUAGUUGCUUCUGAGAGACACGUUCACGCACAAAGUGAUAGUCAACUUCAAUGUGUUUCGUUCGGGCAUGGAAUACCGGAUUUGCAGAAAGGUAUGUAGCACCGAUGUUAUCACACCAAAGAACAGGAGGCUGUGAUUGGGGUAUACUUAACUCCUGAAGCAAGGACUGUACCCAGAUAAUCUCUGAUGUGGCAUUGGCCACAGCCUUAUACUCAGCCUCAGUACUGCUACGCGAGACAGUAGCCUAUUUCCGAGCACUCCAGGCAAUCAGGUUAGAGCCAAAGAAGACAGCAUAACCCCCCGUGGAUCGCCUGUCAUCCGGAUUGCCAGCCCAGUCUGCAUCAGAAUAUGCUGAAAGACAACCAGAGUCAGACGGCCGAAUAUGCAAACCAUGAGCCACCGUGAAACGAAUAUAGCGCAAAAUCCGCUUAACAGCAGACCAAUGAGUGUCACGGGGUGACUGCAGAUACUGGCAGACUCGGUUAACAACAUAGGAAAUGUCUGGUCGCGUGAUCGUCAAGUACUGGAGCCCACCAACAAUACUCCUGUACUCUGUCGCAUCAGAAGAAGAAAGAAGCACACCAUCAACAGCAUUGAGCUUAUCAGUGGUAGACAUGGGUGUAGUCGUCGGUUUGCACUUAAGCAUCCCAGCUCGCUGCAACAAAUCCAGAGAGUACUUCUUCUGCGUCAUAACAAGGCCAGCAUCACGAGAAGUAACCUCCACACCAAGAAAGUAAUGAAGCUUCCCAAGGUCCUUGACCGCAAAAUCAGCACCAAGUGAGCGAACAAGCGCAGUAGCAGCCGACUGAGAGGAGCUGACCAAAAUGAUAUCAUCUACAUAGACCAACAAGUACAUAGUAACCUCAGGCCUUUGAAGAAGAAACAAUGAGGAGUCAGCAGUUGAUGAUGCAAAACCAUGAGCACGAAGAGCCAUUGCAAGACGAGCAUGCCAAGCACGAGGAGCCUGCUUCAGACCAUAAAUUGCCUUGGACAGACGACAGAGAUGAUCAGGGCGAUCCGGAUCAGAGAAACCCGGAGGCUGGCGCAUGUAAACCUCUUCCGCCAAGACACCAUGAAGAAAAGCAUUUUGAACAUCAAGCUGACGAAGAAACCAACCUCAAGUAACAGCCAGAGAGAGAAGAAGUCUGAUGGUAGUAGGCUUGACCACUGGACUGAAGGUGUCUUCAUAGUCAAGUCCAAAACGCUGUCGAAAACCACGAGCAACCAGACGAGCCUUAUAGCGCUCAAUGGACCCAUCAGAAUGCCUCUUCACUUUGAAAACCCAUUUGGAAUCAAUGACAUUUACCCGUGAUUGUGGAGGAACAAGAGUCCAUGUCUGAUUGCGAAGAAGCGCUUGAUACUCCUGCUCCAUGGCCUCUCUCCAAUGAGGAAUGCGCAUAGCAGCUUGAUACGUGCGUGGCUCAGAGGAUGGAUCUGCGAGAGCAGCAGACAUGCACGCCGCUAACCAAGCAACUGUGCCAUCGUGACGUUGCUUAGGCUGAAAAAUGCCACUCCGACUGCGCGUAUGUGGACGUAGAGCAGCAGCAGGAGCCGGCGAAGGUGACGGAGACGUGACGGUCGCCGGAGAUGCAGGAAUCACCUCAGGCGAGCUCGGGACAGACGACUCCGGGCUGCAUGGCGAAGACUGGCCCGACGACAGGGGCUCAGAGGCCAUGGGCGAACCGAGGGUGGGCGAGGCCAGCUCCGGUGACACCGGCCCAGACGGCCUUGGCGAGGCGAGAGCAGGCGAGGCCGGCCCUGGUGAGAAGGGCCCAGACACCCUGGGCGAGGCAGGGGCGGGCGAGGCCAGGCCUGGUGAUGACUGCCCCGACGCCCUGGGCGAGACGGGGACCGAGGAGGCCGGCCCAGUCGGCGGGGUUGCAGGGCGCGACGAUGGCGAAGGCAGCCCAGAAGCCAGAGGCGACCGGGCCAGGACGUCGAUCGGUUGUGCAUGAGCACGGAAACCGAGGCCAUGCAGGGGCGCCAUGUGCUCCUCAUGCACAACAGAAGGUGCCGAGGAUGAAGGCGAUGGCGACGAAGAGGAAGAUGGCGCUUCCAGAAUCUCCAAACGAGCCCCACGACCAGUGGCUGCACCAUGGUUAGACAACAAUAGAGGAGAAUAUGCAACAUCAUCAAAUUGGUCAGAAGCAACAGAGGAUGAAUGCAUGACAGGUGGCUCGGUAGUGGACACAGGGAGGUUGGCAAAGGGAAAAACAUGCUCAUCAAACACAACAUCCCGAGAGAUGUAGACACGAUUAGUGGGAACAUGAAGACAUUUGUAUCCUUUAUGAAGAGAGCUAUAACCAAGAAAAACACACUUCUUGGAACGAAACUCGAGCUUACGCUUGUUAUAUGGACGGAGAUGGGGCCAGCAAGCACACCCAAACACCUUGAGAAAGGUGUAGUCUGGUUGUUCAUUAAGGAGAACUUCAAUGGGAGUCUUCAUAUUCAAAACACGAGUGGGAGUACGAUUGAUGAGAAAACAUGCAGUGGUGAAAGCAUCACUCCAAAAACGAAACGGAACAGAUGCAUGGGCCAAAAGAGUCAGACCAGCUUCAACAAUGUGACGAUGCUUACGUUCUACUGAACCAUUCUGCUGAUGUGUAUGUGGACAUGCUAAACGGUGAGUGAUCCCAAGCGACUGAAAGAAGGAGUUGAGGUUGAGAUACUCGCCACCCCAGUCCGACUGAACAUGAACAAUUUUGUGCUUGAGAAGGCGUUCAACAUAUUUUUGGAACUGAACAAAAAUGUCAAACACAUCAGAUUUACGUUUGAUAAGAUAAAGCCAGGUAAAGCGGCUGUAAGCAUCAACAAAACUGAUAUAAUAAUUAUGACCACUAACAGAAGUCUGAGCAGGACCCCAUACAUCUGAAAACACAAGUUCUAAAGGAUGUUUCACCUCACGACUGGACUCCGAAAAAGGAAGUUGAUGACUCUUCCCCUGCUGACAAGCAUCACACACUGCUACAUCUUUAUUACUAGACACACUAGGAAGCUCAUGACGACGCAAAAUAUGCCGGACAAUAGGUGUGGCCGGGUGACCAAGACGAGCAUGCCACUGUGACGGAGAUACCCGAACUCCACUGAAGACGCGAGCGACGCCAGGAUGCUCCAGACGAUAAAGACCUUGGCAGAGCCGCCCACUAAGAAGAAUGUCCCUCGUGCCCCGAUCCUUAAUAAAAAGAUCAAAAGGAUGAAAUUCACAAAGCACAUUAUUAUCACGAGUGAGUUUAGGAACUAAAAGAAGAUUACGUGUCACAGAUGGAACUCGAAGAACAUUGCGAAGUUGAAGACUCCUAUUGGCAUGUCUAGUGAGAAGUGAUGCUUGACCAAUAUGAGAGAUGCACAUACCUGCUCCAUUGGCGGUGUGGAUCUUGUCGGAGCCAUGGUAGGGUUCACGAGUGUGAAGCUUCCCCAUCUCACUGGUCAGGUGCUCUGUCGCUCCAGAGUCCAUGUACCAGUGGGGAUCAAUGGAGUAGGACUGAGUGUGUCCCUGUGGCUUCUGCGGCGGCGGACGAUCAGCCAUGGCGACCUGACGAGCAAAGUUGCGUGUAUCCUUCCCGUCAUUGCCAAGACCAAGAAAACCCCGCUGGAAGCGCUUGUGACACUUCGAGGCCCAGUGCCCAUCGCGACCACAAAGCUGGCACACACGUGGACCGCCAGCCCCUGGUAGCGUCGCAGUAGGAGGAGGGGCCGAGGCGGGUGGUGGUGACUGCCCCGAAGGAGCCCUGGAUGAAGCAGAGGAGCGACCACCCUUGGUGGCGGCGUUUGCCGAGAGGGCACCGUUGCCCCUGGAUCGGCGCGUCUCGACUCGUUGCUCAGUAAGCAGGAGGCGUGAAAAGACCUCGUGUGCUGGCAUGGGCGUGGAGUUGCCCCUCUCAUUGAUGAUCUCGACUAGGGCGUCAUACUCCUCAUCAAGACCAUUGACGAUAAACGAGUUGAACUCGGAGUCGGUGAGGGGCUGUCCAAUGGAGGCCAGCGUGUCGGCGAGACUCUUGACUUUGUUGUAGAACUCAGUGGCGGUGGAGUCAAACUUCUGACACUCCCCAAGUUGGCGACGGAGCCCAGAUACACGAGCCUGCGACUGUGCCGCAAACGAGCGCUCAAGAAUAGUCCAUGCCUCGUGGGACGUCUUGGCGAAGACAACAAGCCCAGCAACGGCCGGAGAGAGCGACCCCUGGAUGGAGGAGAGGUUCGCCUGAUCCUGCCCUGUUCAGACACGGUGAGCCGGAUUAUAGACCGGACCAUGCACGCUGUCAACCAGCGCAGGAGGGCAAGGGAGAGAGCCGUCGACAUAGCCAAGCAGGUAGUGACUCCCAAGAAGCGGAAGAACCUGCGCGCGCCAGAAGAUGUAAUUGUCCGACGACAACUUGAUGGUGAUGAGAUGGCCGAAGUGAAACGGCGGCGGCGGCUGCGAUCCCAUCGAGGAGACUGGCUGAGGUGAGAACACCGUGGAGACAGUCGGAGGGGCAGCCGGCGCGGUGACAGAGGGCGCGAUGGCCGCGGUUGACGCCGCGAAGCCUGCCAGCGCGACGUCCUCCGCCACCAGCGGCGCAGUGGCCGAGGGCGCGACAGCCGCGGUUGACGGGGCGGCGGUGGUGUGGGCCACAAGCGCCUGCCCGGGCGAAGUAGCAGCCGGCGGGAGCACGAAGAGGGAGCCGACGCUCCGUGUCCCGAUCGGCGCCUGAAGGGAGGCGGCAUCCAGUGGCCUCGAGAGAAGUGCCGCGAGGGAGGCCGGCAGAAAACCGGUGGCGGUGGAGCCGGACGCAGCGGCGGACGUCAUAGCAGUCGGGCGACGGCGGCGGCGGGCGCGGCGGCGGCGGCUGUGGCGGCGGCGGUGGCGGCGGCGGUUUAGGGUUUUUAGGCGGAAGCGGACGUAACCUAGCGUGAUACCAUGUAAGACAAUAGGCUUUGGGGGGAACCAGCACAACCCUUUAAGGGUGGCCUAUCACAUAUAUAUAUAAUGAGGUGGUAUACAACAUUACAAUAUACACAUGUAAAUACAGUCUAACAACAUGACACUUUUCCCAUAAAAGAACUAACAGGGACAAAGUUGCCACAUUCUAACAUCUAAAGUUGCCACCUCGCGUUAACUAAAGUUGCCAUAAAAAACAUUCACGAUGGCAUGCUUAAAAUCAGAAUGUUCGGGAUUUUAUUGAAUAUGCCAUCAGUAAGGGAGGUUGAAACGGUGACCAUAGGACAAAAUGAAAGCCAACCCCAGACUUGAAAAACCUGCAGAUGGGAACGCAUGCGCCAUUUUCCCUGUAAGCAAAUGAUUAUGAUGCUGCCGAAACUGCACCACUUUUCCUCAACAAAACGCAGCGUGGCGCCGCUUGAUGCUCUGUAAGGCUGUGUAACAGCCUGCGGGCAGCAGGCAGGCCGAUGGGAGCUGCCGGCCGGCCGGCCUGUCCCGGCGCCGUUGAAGUCGCUGCGUAUGAUCAGUCUGCUCUGUGCUCGAUCACGGGUGUGCCUGACGGCCAGCCAUCAGUGGCUUUCAGGCGGCGCCCACAGCGUACACCGACGAGAGAGAUGCCCUCCGGCGGGCCGUGCCUUUGACCGACUGUUGGACGGGAGCGGGGGGCUCCGACGGCGGCCUUCCUUCUCUAAUCUCCGGCUGAGCGCCGGUGAGGUCCUGCCCUCUGCCACAAGAGCGUCAAGAACCUGCCUGUACCUCGGCCAUUUGAUAUUCUGCUGCUUCUGUUACUGUAACUGUGUUCAGUUCUGCCACACCAUGGGAUGGGAGCGUGGAUGUGACCAAGCUCUUCUUUACGGACAUUGUUGGCUACAGCGACGGCCUCUUCUUUUCCUCGCCGCAUCACUGGCCUGCUUGCAGCAGGCUUGACAUAUGUAUGUGCCAAAGUAGUCUGAUACAAGGAAGCUCCAUGACCGAUCACUGUGUAUCCCACUAGCUCCUGCUCUCUGCGACGCAACCAGCAUGUGCUAAACUCCAGCGCCAUCCUCAUAAUAGGUUGAGCAUAUAAUAGUCACAAUGUACAACAAAGUUUCAAGUUAGAAGGCAUCAUCUAUCACUGUUUUGCUGGUGGUAGGACCUCCCACCUCGGCUCCUUCCUCGCAACAAGAUUUUCACCUAGUGGAGCAUCUCACUGGUGUCAAAAUCGCUCUUAUAUUAUGGGACGGAAGGGGUAUAAGACAUUUUAGAGAUUUCAGUACAGAUGUAUAUUUAGGAACAGAGGGAGUGGUUUAUAAAAUCUUCCAAUAUCAUAGUGACCAUCUUCUGUAACUCAUUUUCGGAUGAGAUUUUAGUUGUUUACAAACUGGCGACCACGGCACACGCUAUCUUUCCCGUCAUUUCCAAGAAUGAUGGAGAACAUAUAAUCAAGUCGACAAAACAUACCAACCGUUUGGAUUGACAAACGGCCUUACCUUGUCAGCAUUCAUAUGUAUUAUCAGUCAACUGAGGAAAGAUAAAAUGUUGCUAACUGGAAGUUCGACAGAAAAGAGGUGGAGUCUACACUACAUACAAAAUUUGAAAGGGAUAUGUCCCACUAGAACUGAAAGAAAAAAGGGGGUAAACUUGUCUUUGUUUGGCUUCCAAAGUUUUCUAGUAUAUAUCUUUUGUCUACGAUCUGUAGAACCCUAGGAAGCAGCUCCCUGCAUGUACAUCACUUUCCCAGUAUGGAGAAGAGGAGUUAUAAAAACAACUUGCCCUCUUGCAUCUUUGCAGAAUACCUGUAAAAACAAAUAGAUAGAAAAACAAGGACGUGAGGAAUCAAAGUCAGGACAACAAAUCUAUACCACUGAAGAGCAGGAGAGAACACUCACGGUUUCACAUUUGUUCAGGAAGCACCCUUUUGCAAAGGUGAAAAGCUCUGUUGUUUAAUGAUUUCCUGGCUGGACGAUCCUGUUUCAUGUACAAACUUGACAGAUUCUGACAGCCUAUUCAGAAGAUUUACCAGUGCAAUGACCUCAUUUCGCUGCAGCUGGAACUGAAUGAUUACCAUGAAACAUUAUUAGACAAAUUGACAUCUAAAUGAACUCAAAAGGUAAAACCUGUUAUUCCAUAGGAAAUGUAGAAAACAAUACAGCAAAGCAUCAUGAACUGUGAGCUAGUGUCGUAUAAAGACGGUACGACGAAGACUACUCUCACCAAUCAUACAUCAUAUACCUUAUACUAUUAAGUUAUACAUUGCAAAGCGGUUGCGAAUAAACUGCAAAUGAACAGCAUACCUGUUGAUUCAAAUUGUUCUCUCCAUCAACAGAAAAAAGAAUCUUCAGCGCUGUUCCAAGCCCAAGAACUUGAAGCUUUCCCCAUAAUCGACACUUCUCACAACCAACACAGUCCAUAAUUGCACUGUAAACAAAAUGUUGCAGUGGGUACGGUUUCAUGUUAGUGAAACGCAUAAUAUAAAUUAAAGCAGAGAGAUUAAGGCACAUACCUGAUAUUUCUAAACUGCUUCUGGAUCUCCUGCUUUAACUCAGGGCCAUUUUCACCUUGCCAGAGUUUUGCUUCAUCAAAAGGUAAUGGGCAUGCAGAUCUUAACUUGUGGUUGUAAAGCAAUUGCCUCACUAAAGAUUGUGUUUUCAAAUCCUCUUCAGGAUUGCCAGUGUUGUACUCUGCCUGCUCAAGGUAAUCUGCCGCCUAAAAGAUAGCAAACAAAUUGUCACUCACGACAAGCUUUAGGCCAAAGCAACUCGACAGAUUAAUCUUUAAAAUCAAAGAUUAAGUUUUAAUCAAGGAAGAAAUGGGAACCUUAGUCACUGCCCGAAGAACAAAUAGGUAUGUGAAGUACAGAUUUUCGACACGCUCUGGGUACUUCAGAACACGGUCAUGCAACAACGAAAGGUUAUGUCCCCACUGUAAUCAUAUACACCAAACUUGUCAAAUCAAGUACAAAAAUCGUUUAAUAAGCACCAAACUAAGUGUAGAGUAGUAGAUAGAUACCAAGUUAGCGGAUUCAUCAAGAAGAUAAUCAUAAGCAAUAUGUACAGAUAUUGAGGAGUGCAAUCCUGAAAUUAGCUUGUAAAGUGCCUUCUUCUCCUGGCACAUAUCUUCUGAAGGAUCUGCGAAAAUAAAUGAAGUUUGACUAAUGCUUGUCCAGACUAUUGUAGUGAUAUAAGCAACGCUAGACACUACACCAUUCAACUUGGCUAGGACAGGCAACUGUACCAUUAGGGAUGCAAGCGGGCGUCCCACAUAUCCGCAAAUCAGUUCACUUCUGGCCAGAUGAUUAGCACUAAACUAGAGACGAAUUUGUACUAUCAUGUACUCCCUCUGUAAAGAAAUAUAAGAGCGCUCAAACCCGCUCUUAUAUUUCUUUACGGAGGGAGUAGCGCUCAAACCCGCCUGCUUUGCAUCCCUAUGUACCAUUACCAUAGAAGAGAAAUAAAUAAGCAACACACACUGCUCAUAAGCGGUUGUUUAGAGCACUGCCAGCAGACUGAAACUUGAAGGUACUUCAACAACAACAAAGCCUUUAGUCCCAAACAAGUUGGGGUAGGCUAGAGGUGAAACCCAUAAGAUCGCGCGACCAACUCAUGGCUCUGGCACAUGGAUAGCGAGCUUCCACGCACCCCUGUCCAAACUUGAAGGUACUUCCUUUUGUUAUAUACUCCCUCCGUCCGAAAAUACUUGUCGGAGACAUGGAUGUAUCUAGAUGUAUUUUAGUUCUAGAUACAUCUGUUUUUAUUCAUUUCUGCGACAAGUAAUUUCGGACAGAGGGAGUAUAAGUAUACCACAGAAGGAACCAUACAAUCUUAAUCUUAGAGCACAACCACACAAGUAAACUUAGUUUGAAUUGUUGUGCAUUCUCUAAGGGAAGGAUCAUGCAACUUACAGGCACAUCAAUGAUUCAUUUAAUAUGUUGUGGAUUCAGCCAUAAUGUACUUACAAACAAAGGAUUCUAUAGGUCAACUGCCGUCAGAAUGGACAUGUGAGAAAAAACGGAGAACAUAUGCUUACAUUUUGGGCAAUUUUCUUUGUAGAUAGCGUCCCAUAUCCUUCUAGCUGAAUCACCAGUAUAACCAGUAUAACGUUCAGGAUUAAGUUGAAGAUUCACAUAAGUCAUCUCAGCUGGAACAGGGAUAAAUUUUUGUUAAUCAUCAGAUUUUCAGGGACGCAUAAAAAAGAAUUAAAGGAAGAACGAUGUACAAAAAGGAGGGUAAACAAUGUACCAUUAUCCGUCUCAUCAUCUGAUGUCCAUGGAUUAUCGGUUUCAACCCACCCUUUGAAAACCUUGGUGUCGAGGGUUCUAUCAACCGUGGCUUCUGGUUUUCCUUCUUGACAGAUCAUGUUUUCAGGAGAAAGGCCACUGUAAGGCUUCUUGAAUGGUUCGGGAAAUUCAUUAUCUGGGCACUCGCAUACACUACAGUCCCUGAGCCGACACAUGCCAUCAUCAGGCCAAAAAGGGCAGUCACACCACAACUUAACCUAAACAAGGAAAUAAACAACCCAAGACUUAGAACAAAUAAAUGAAUGGUUGUAAUGUUGAUUUUCAGGGAUAGCAUCUCUGUACAAUCAUACAGUAGCUAACAAUUAUAGUAACCACAAAACAUGUAACAUUGGCUAUGUUAUCCUUAGCAGCAGCAACAUCAAAUAACAAACAUAUAUCAAUGUCUUAUCCUUAAAAAAAGAAAAACUGGUUUGAUGCUCUAUCAAUUGGCUAAAAGGCCAUCAACCUUAUCCGAGCUAAGAAUGAUGUACAAAAGAAAGGGAUAGGGAACCACAAGUCGCCCUAACAGACCCAACAGCUAUCAUCAUAUUAUGCUCAGUCCUCCAUAUCAGGAUGUAUUCUUUAUAUUGCUAACGUCAAAAUGCCCUAAAGGUUUGAUCCUUGAGCUUAAUGCUCUAAUCAAGCAACCAGCACUCUUUUUCCACAUCCAGCCCAAUUGACAAGUAAAAAGUGGCACCGUAUUAAUGCAAGCCAGAACAUUGUAGUAAAUAAAGUGCAGCAACCUAGUGGAGAAUUAUACAGUUGUGACCAGUCUCCCACAUAUAUAUCCAAUUCCGUUAUACAAAUAGCAGGGCAAAAAAAUUGGCUCCAUAGUUAUGGAGCAAAUGCUCCGAUCAAAUAUACACUGCUACAUAACUCUAACAUGUGGAGCUGGCUAUCACAGUUCUUAACAUCGGAACAUCACAAUAUGCACUUCCCAUAAGCCAGGUCACACAUAAAAAAAACCGUUAAAAAACAGAAGAGCAAAAUUUGCUUACCUUGAAGUACCUGAAGAAGGGCAGAGCGACGAGGUCCUGUAGGAUCGGGUUGAGCACCUCCUCGUUGAUGGCGUCCACCGUCUCGUAGUCGCAGCAGCAGUCCUCCACCAUCCCCGUGUACUUCCUGGCACCCUGACGAAACACGCAGCACCGGCCGCCCCAAAACCACGUCGUCAGAUCAAAACCUCCCGGAGCAGAAGGCCAAAUCACGAGACCAGGGGCGGGGGGAGCCUUACGGGGCAGCCGCAGCCUCCGCCGCGCGAGAGGGACGAAAUGGAGGGGAAGCUGCGGGAGCUCACGGCCACGGCGAGGAGCGCCACGAGGAGGGCCGCCGCCGCCGCCCACCAUCGCCUCCGCCUCUGGCGCACGGCCCCGCCGUUCGCCGCGGGAGGGGGCCCCUCUGACAUCCCGCGCCGGGUGGGUGGAAGCUUCUAGAAGGAAGCGAGAUCUGACCGAACAACGGCGGCGGAGGAGGAAUUUUCUCGCCGUGUUCGCAGUUGGGGCGUUGGCGGUUGGGGAAAAUCGCGUAGGCGGCUGCUACUACUAAUACAGAGGCUGCGGUGGAAGAAUCCGCGUGCGUGCCUCGGUUUACCCUCUGAUUGUCGGAACCGGCGAUGCUGCGCACGGAAUGAUGGAUCGGACGGCGUGUGUAGGGCCUGGGCGCAGCUGGACGGCUGGAUUUGCCCCGAUGACGUGUCUGUGCACCUGUGGGCCGCGUUUGCCCAACAGCUCAUUGACCAGCUCGCACGACACGUUAACUAAACUUCGCACAGUGCCGACGUCAAAAUGAGAAAAGGAACUUCGCACGGUGCCUUCGCGGGGUUGGCGUCUAGAAGAAAUCUCUCCGUUCCUCUGCGUGUACACAAACUCAAAAAAUAACUGAAACUUGUCAUCCGAAAAUAAAGUUGCCACGCUUCACAAUUAAAGUUGUCAUCCUCGCGUCAUCAAAAACAUUCGGAGGUGCCAUGUGUUCGUGCCACACAUGUAACUCUUAUCAGGUUCUAUAUCAGGAGAUACAUCUCAAAGCUCAUACAAGGACUCGAAUAAAGUAAAUAUAACACCUAAGUCUUUGAAUUUUCAAGAAGGACCCCGGACUGGAAACAAGAGCUGCAAUCAGGUCCAAAACAAGAUCUAUCCAGAUUGAGCAUCUUCAUCUUGGACGAGACUUACCUGCUCCUUAUUUGUGCGCCCAUCCGUGCCCCCGCAUACGUGACUUGAUUUGAUUGGAACAAAGUAAGGGCCGACCCCAUCCCCUUAAAAUCAGGGAGGAAGAUGAUUAGAUUAGAAAGAAAAAAAGAAAAAAAAACAGCCGUAGGAUGAGGUGGAAGUACGGAUGAGAAUAUGAAGAGAGAGCAGGUAAGCCGGAUCCCUUCAUCUAUGGGGACGAACCAUAAGUGCUCGUGGGAUGGAGUGAUGAUGGUUCAGCAAGAUCAUCACAAGGUGGCGCAAGUGCUUAUCGAAUGGAGCGAUGAUGGCCACGUAAUGCUACUUGGGAAGAUUUUGAGUCCCUGCAUCAAGGUUCUCCAUUGACACAUUCGUCGGCAAGAUCAUCGGAAGGCGACGUAAGUGCUUCUCGAAUGAAGUGAUGUUGGCCUACAGAAUGCUACUUGAAAAAAAAAAACUCGGGAAUAUUUUGAGUCCCUAUGUCAAAAGUUCCCACAUGCUCUGGUUACAAGCCAAAACUAAAUGAUGGAAAGAAGGGGAGUUCCAUUUCGUGACCAGCGUGAUGAAAAGCGAGUAAUCAUAUAGGGUGAGCAAGUUCAACGUCGGUGCUGUGCUGGGCUAACUACAACUUGCUUGCGUUUUUUUUCGAAUGUCCGCUGGCUCGCGUUUACACACUUUCACGUUCGUUUGUCUAAAAGACAAAAAAAUCAUUCAGCGCACAUUGAUUUCCGUGUCCGUUUUUCGAUUUUUUUCUAUUUUUUCCUUUCGGCCUGCUUCAGUUUUUCUUUCGUUUUUCUAUUUUGAAUUUUUUUUUUCUCUUUUAGUCUUUUCUAGUAUUUUUUUUCAGUUCACAAAUCUAAAAAAUGUUCGCUUAUUUUGAAAAUAUUCAUGCUUUAAAAAAAGUCCGGCAAAUCAUAAAAAAUCGUGGAUUAAAAAAAGUGGUGAUUUUGAAAAAGUGUUCGAUUGUUCAAAAAAAAGUUCAUGGUUUUGAAAAAGUAUUUGCGAAUAUUUUUGUUUGUCGGGCAUGUUUUUAAAAUUGUGAACAUUUUGUCUUUGCAAAUUUGAAAGUAAUGCUUAUGAUUUAAAAAAAAGUGUUCGUGAAUUCAAAAGGUGGUCAUGAUUUUCAAAAACAAUAGUCACAUAUUCAAAAAAUGUUCAUGAAUUUGAAAAUUUAUUCAAAAUUUUGAAAGAAAAAAAAUCUGGGAGAUCAUAAUUGUUUCAUGGGUGCAAACUUUUUGUGGCUUUGAAAAAUGGAUCAUGUAUUUAAAAAAUGUUCAUGGUUUUGAAAAAAAAGUUUGGAAAAUCACAAACUGUUGGCAUAUUCAACAAAAAUAGAGUUUGAAAAAUGUCCAUGCAUUCAUAAGAUGUUUUAUAUUUUUCAAAAAAAUUGAGAUUUAAAAAAUAAUCAUGAUUUUAAACAAAUGUAAAUAUUUGCGGUUUCAAAAUAUGUUCAUGAUUUGAAAGAAAUGUCCAGGAAAAUAGAAAAUAUUCGCGGUCCCAAAAUAGGUUAAUGAUUUUAAACAAUUGUUCCUCAAAAAAUAAAAUUUUAAUAGCAAAAAGAAAAAUAAAAAGAAAAAAACCUAACGCUCUGUUUGGAUGUUUAAUUGAAGGAAAAGAAGUAAAAGCAUAAAUGAAAAACGAAAAUAAAAAACAAAAUAAAAAAUUUAGAAUAAACCAAAAUAAAACGAAAAAUGGUGCGGGACGGCUCUCCAUCCUUUUCAAAAACAGAAAAAAAAACUAAAUGUAGGAGUUACUUGAGCCGGCCCAACUAUAGGUCACGCCAUGAGGUACAUUGUACCUGUCUAUUCGCUGACCCUGAAGGACAACUAAGGGAAGCUCAUUGGACCGGUCUUCCCAACCGGUUCGUAACAAGAGAGAUCUGGCAUGUCUAUGUUUGGGCCCUUGUUAGGCCUUGUAACUCACCCUUACAUACUUGCAAGCCUAGUUUAGGCUCCAUUCAGCCUUGUAACUCCAAAAAUGUCAAAUGGAUGCGCCCUUGUAAAGCCUUGUACCGAACCCUUACAUACUUUGUAAGCCAAGUUUGGGCUCCAUUAGGCUUUGUAACUCCAAAAAUGUCAAAAUGGAGGUCUUCAUUUGAAAACUAUAUCAAAAUCAAACGUCUUAGGGUUUUUUUUUUCAAACAAUACACAUAUACCUAGAGACAUACUAAUAUACAUGUGUGAAAAUGUUUAGGUCAACUUGUAAAUAUGAGGCCUUUUAGCAAAUGUACUGUUCAUUCUUUCUUGAUAAAAACUCCAUGAUUUUCUAUUUCAUCCUGAAAUUUUACAGGACAUACAAGAUGUAUAUUUUUCUAAAAAAAUUAGAACUCUUCAGUUUGAAUUUUGCUCGGUCUCCGAGAUGCCCUACUCCUGUAACUCGCCUUAUAUCCCCCUCAACAAAAAAUACUCGCCCUUAUAUACUCUGUAUCUGGAUGUAUCACAACUGCUAAAAAAAAAUAAGUAUCUGGAUGUAUCGCAAUUUGGACUGGAAGGAUUCUGUAAGAUGAUUCUGCAAGCUGCAAGGUGGAUGGGUGGAACAGCAACAAUUCAAGAUAUUCCAAAUACUUCGCCAUUGAUACCAAGCCAGAUCUUUGUCAAAGACGCUGGCCAUUGGGCGUUGCCAAUGACUUUAGUCCCAUCUCGGAUAUGGGAAGAGGCUAGGACCACCUUAUAAGAAGGAGUGCCACACUCCCUUCAGACCAGUUUUUUUUGGAUGUAGUGGGCUCUUUGCUUGUGCUGGAGGUUGGGACCGAACGUAUGCUGAAGGUUGGGAGCGACGCUAACAAUCUUCCCAUUAGCAUAGUAGUUGUUGUAGCUCAUCACAGUAUUGCAACAUCCAUCAUCCAUCACACGGAUAAAAAAAGGGCGAACCAACCAGACAAAACGUACUUAGAAACCAGGCCAUGUCACAGUACUGCAACAACUAUCACACGGAGAAAAAAGAUGACAUGAAAAACUUAACACUAUGCCCUUAGAUUGUGCACACGGCGGUUCCUCGAGUCUUUAUUCUUCACUGGACUGAACCCGAGGCCGAGGCAAGUUAGGCUCAGUUCAG